UUUUUUUUUGUGGGUGAAGGGGAUAUAAUUCCUCUCUAAACAUUUUUAAGUGUAGAAGUACCUUUGCGUGGUCUGUCACAACCAUUGAUCUGUAGAAGGUGUUAGGGUGAAGUGCUCGGAAAUACGAAUCUACAGAGUCCUUUAUAGUUUCGUCUGGAGAGGGUCUAGGGACAUCUCUCACCAACACCGCAAACUCCUCUGGUUUAACAUCUGGUGUUGAUCUUGCAGUCGCUCUCAAAUUUGAAACAUGCUUGUAUGACUUCCACAGGAUAAAAUAGGUGACAAAUGAAACCCAGUAGACUGACAACAGAAAUGCCCACAGCCUCAUACUUUUUGGCUGCAGAGAGUGUAAAAAUAUGCUGAUUUCAGUUCUCUGUGUGAAUAUAUGACGCUCAGGAUACCUAAUGAUAACCUUACCCAGGAUAUCUUAAAAAUAUACUAUUAACAGAAAAGGUUAUCUGUUAUCAAAGUAUUUUUUUUUCAUGUUACAUAAACAUAGUUUUUGGCUAUAGAUGAUCAUAUAACCUUUUCAAUUGAUUUAUAUUUGAGAUAACAAAGGCAAAUCAUAAACUGAUUGCUUACUUGAACAUUGCCCAAUGCUAGUCUUUCCAUCUGUGGGAAGUCUGGAGCUGAGUCGUCUUUGUUAUCAGUUUUUGGCUUGAAGCCAGCAGCAGCAUGAAGGUCCAGGGCAUGAUCAGUUCCGGCAACGGGGAGGAGAACCGGAAGCAGCACAAUCCCAGAGAACACCAAGAUCGACAAUACUGGAACAUCAAGGGUCAAAUACUGUUAAUUGCCUGUACUUGACAUGUUGACCAAAUCCCAACCCCACCAAAAUGCAUCCUAGCUUUAUUUUUAACCACCCUCGACUAAUGAAAAAUAGACUUUUCAAGGACAAUCUGCAGAAUAAACUUAACUACCCUGUAACGUGCAAAGAACAUCAGUUCAGCAAUCCUAUAUACAUCAAGGGCAGCAAACAACCACAAAAAUAUGCUCCUAUUUUUUUUAAAAAAAAUCAACUAUAAAAUUGGUGAAAAGCAACAGAAUUUUUGAAACAAAAGGAGUUUGACGACGCUAUUGGAGCACCUGUCAUAAGACAAUCCACACAAAAGAAAUAACGCGAGAAAAUCUUGCAAAAAAAAGUUUCUUCUGAACAAAUGAAGCACCAAACAAACGCCAACUGCACAUAGCCUACAAAUCAUCUACCUGGGGAGCUGCCAACUAACCGAAAUUAAAGCCCCCCCCCCCCCCCCCCCAACACACACACACACACUGAAGAAAGUGUUUCUAAAAGGGGGAGAAAAACAGAGAAAAAGAACUGAGCAGCAGCCGGGUUGGCCGUACCGGAGGAGAGGAAGACGAGGUAUACGGCGGCGUCGACCCCUCCGGCGGCGAUGACGUCGGUCUCCGACGCGGAGAGGGCCUCGCGGAUCCACCCGACGGGGCUGCGGCUCCCGCGGCGGCGGCCCUCCCACGGGUCGAGCCCCCGCAGCAGGAGGCUCGGGUAGUACACCGGCGCGUUCCCGGGGCGGCGCGACAGCCACGUGAACACCAGCACCAGCACCACGAAGAUGACGAACGACGUCAGCACCGACGUAAUGAACGACGCGAAGUCCAUCUCGCCGCCGCCCCCUGCUCCUGCUCUGCUGUUUCUUGAAGCGGCUCUGCUCCCCGGGAUUUAAACCCCGGAGAUUGCGCUUAGCGGCGGGAUCCGGAAGGGGUUUAGUGGUGGCGGGCGUGAUUAUUGACGCGCAUUAGGGUGGAAUUAAGGAGGGAGGGAGGCGGCGAGGGAAAGCAUUGGAUGCUCCGUGGUGCCGUGGUGGUGAGCCGUGGAGGAGCUGGCAAAGCGCAAGGAGAGAGGAAGAGGAAGGGGCAAGGGGGAGUUGAGCGAAAUGUCCGGAUUGCCCCUGGAGAGUGAAGGCCUCUUUUCUCGAGUUCAAAGCUUGCUGGCGGUUUUUUUUUUCGUUGAGUUUUUUUUAAAGAGAAAGUUGUUGUUGUCUUUACAAAGGAGCUGGGAUCCUCCUUUUGACUUCUUAUUAAUCCAGUGACCAUUUUAUCCCUCCUUUGGGAAGCCAAAAGGUCCAUAUUUCAAUUAUUAAGAAAAGUUUGUUACAAUUAUUUCAUAUUUUGCGAAGUAACAUUUGAAUCACACGAAAUCCUUUAUUUCCAAGCUUAAAUCUUUGUUUUAGUAGAACACAUGAUGAUGGGAAGUUUUUUGUCGGCCUAUAAUUCCUCGCUUAAACCGGCCUACGAGAUUUGCUACUCCGUACAUUCGUAACGCUAAAAACAACGCAACAAAGCAUUGGUGUUGCAGCCGUUUCUCCUAUCAAGCCUUUGUGUGAUUAUUAAAAGGUUCUUUCAAACAAUUCGGCUCCAUUUCAAUACUUCCGUCACAAACGUUUUCCUUAUCGUUUCAAAAAAGAAAAUGUUUUCCUUGCAAAUAUCAUCAAGCUAAGCUAGUUUUUCUCCCAAUUCUGCUGACUCGUGGCUUUACCAAUGCAGCAAUCCUGCACUACUGCUGUGCCCUCUUGUCUUUGUCGUGAACAAAAAAGAUUAUGAGAUGUUUUCUGUUUAAAAAGCUAGGAGCUGUCGCGUUCGCUCGGGGCCAAGCUUGGCGUCAGAAAAGAAUGCGAGAACCAGCAGCCGCGGGGCAGAAGACUCCUAGGCCGCAACGCACCGGCCCACGUGGCGCCGCGCCGGGCGGCACGCGCCGCGCAGGAGUGCAGGGGCAGCCUGCCGCCGGUGGGCCCCGCCGGCCGACACCCGAGGACCCCGCGGGGGCAUUUCCGUCCACCGAUCUUCCUUCCGGGCAGAAAGAUCGGCCACGCCUAGGGGAGUGGAUAAGGCGCUGCCGUGUGGGCCAGGGCCGCUUUCGCUUUCGCCAGACGGCCACGUGGAGGGGGCGGACGCGCCCCGCUUGCCGACACCCCACGCGUCUCUGCGCUGGCCGCCUGGCCGUCUCUCCCUCCGGUUACCACGGCCGACGACGACGAGGGCGAAGCGGUUUCCACGCUGCGGAGCAGCGCUGUGGCCGCGGCCGAGCCCACGCCGGAUGCUUUGCCAGGUGUGUGUGACCGGUGACCGCGCAGCGGACGCGCGCGCCGCCGUCGGCCGUCGCCGUCGAUGGGGAUGGCGUCGUGGAGCCGAGGCAAACGUGACAUGCUUCGGAUCCUUUUGUCAACUUGUGCUGCUAUCGUUUUCGUGUCAUCACCACUGUGUUCUUCGUGGAAAAAAAAACAGACAGGUCUGAGAGAUCUACGUGCUGAUUUGUCCACGAGCAAGAUGCCAGUAGGAUUUAGGUUACAUUUUUUAUUUUGCUCCUAGUUUGAAGUACAAUUGUAUUUUUAUUUUUUUAACUUUGUGAUUUUACCCUUGCCUCAACUAUUCACAAGUUAUUGUGAUUUUACCCUUGAUCUUUGUGUAUUUGUCCCUGUUUUAACCGUUGACUAGGGGUAAAAUCGUAUUGACUUAUCAAUGGUCGAGGGGAAAAAAAGUUUUUUUGUUGUUUGAUAUUGUGAAUGAACGAAAAUAUUCCACAAGAGAACACCAUGAAUGGUAAAAAAAAUAGUGCAUAUGCUCUUUAAUAGUUCAAUGGCUUUUUCAUACUUUUGUGAAUUAUACCAUAAUUAAGACCGUCUUGCAGAGCUGUACGUGCUAGGUUUUUUGUUUUUUUUGUACAAGCAGAAUAUGCCGUGGUGUUUGGUGCCACUACAUCUGAGACAGCAUCACCAGAGGAGCUAAGCCAGUGCUCUCCCCAGACGGUUUAUAUACGAAAAGGAAUAAACACUUCAUAAUCUACUAGAGAAGAAAAGUAGAGAGUGGAGAGAGAACGCAUCAUGGGCUUGUCAAGAUAUUUUUUAGAUAAAAAAAAUGAUGGGCUUGUCUGUCAAGGUAAAUUAAACUAAAAUGCGAUCUUAUUAAACCUAAUGCUAUUUCCAUUCCACACUGCCUGCCAAAUAAAUCCCUUCGCCAGUGGCUUGUACACUGACACGUUCCACGUCCCACUGGUCGCCACGUGGCGCACCCCGCCCCGAGAUGUUCCCAUCCGUGGCAGUUGCCAGUUGGGGGCUGGCCGUGAAAAUAGCCGGCCGGAUUUAAGGCCUGGUUUAGUGUCCAACUUUGGGGUGUCCAAAAUACUGUAGCAACACUGUAGUGUUUCGUUUGUAUUUGUAAAUUAUUGUCCAAAUAUUGACUAAUUAGACUCAAAAGAUUCGUCUCGCAAAGUACAACAAAACUGUGCAAUUAGUUUUUAAUUUCGUCUACAUUCAGUACUCCAUACAUGUACCGCAAGUUUGAUGUGAUGGAGAAUCUUCUUUUUGCACAGUGUCAAAGUUGGGAUUUUAGAGUGAACUAAACAUGGCCUAAAAGAGGGUUGAUCGAUCACCAGCAAUUCGAUGGGUACGAGCGGCAUCAGCCUUUUGUUUGCCCAGUAGGAUAUGAUAGCUGCUUCUUCAACGCAACCGCAGGAUCACAAGCACUCGAGCACGUUGCUGAUGGGCAAACAGAUGAGUGAACAGCAAGUAGUACUAAACAAAACAGUCUCCUUGCAGCUAGAGAAUGUUUGCAGAAUCCGGAUGAAUCGAUUUUUUUUUUCCCGAAAGACAAAUCCGCAUGAAUCGUAAAUAACGUGGACGGUUUAGUGCUGAUGGUACCUUCGAUUUGGUCAUGAUAUCGACAAAUGUGAAAACCGCUCCAACACAUUCUGCAUUGUAUAUUUGUAUGUGAAUGUCUGUGCAACCUGCAGUGUAGGCACUUGGGUUCAUUGAUCAGCAACAGUCAGCUACACAAAAUUGGUUAGAAUUCAUACCCGUUAGCAUGGGAAUAUUUGAACAUGCAUGUGUUGAAUUCAGUUGGCCAUACACAAGGAACAGAUAUACCAAAAUUAUUUGUUGUUUGGUGUUUGAGCUAGCUUAGCUAUGCCUCCUGAGAGAUAUUUUCCUUGCUUCGUCCUUAUCAACAAAGCAAAGCAGUUAAGCAGUGCUAAUGAUCCUCAACUCUCCUUUCAUGCAAGUUGGCCAGUUGCAUCGGGAGAAGAUUUUAUGGAGAAUAAAGCAAGCUAAUAAGGCAGCAGAUGACAAUAAUUAAUCGUGUCCUGCUAGCUUUCAUAUGUAGGGACGGCGUGCCUAUCACAUCUCAAGAUUAUUGUGCUUUGCUACAUAAACCAACCAUUCCUUUUUCUUCUAUAUUGUACACUUACUAUAACGUGACACCAUGUCGUUUUCUUCAGCCAUUUUUUCUUUAAAAAAAAACAGAAAAGCAGUAUAAUGUUGUUGUUUCAAGUGGCUCAGACAUAACAAUGCAUUCGUGUGGAAUCUCAAAUACAAAAUACAAAUAAGGCACAUGCUAGCAAGUUAGUUAGGGGAUGUAUGAUGAAUAAAGACGACACUGUCUAAUAGACAAGUAAUGCCUCUUGAUUUGAGGGCCACUCAUUGCGCAAAAAAAAUCGUUGGAAAUUAAUGUGUGUAGGCCUGGCCCCACACCUCUACGAGGGAAGGGACAAUAAUUUUGUUUGAUCUUUAUCUGCCUUUGCCAUUCUUUGCUUGUAAAUAAUUCGUUCUUCCUUUACAUGCUCACACUUAGCAGUGCACAAGUAUGUGCGCUGUGUGCAAGGUCAAAGAGGUAAAGAACGAUAACUGAUCAAGUAUGUACGCACACGGAUAAAAGAAGGAAACACCCACUGCAAGAAUUGCAGCUCAAAACAUGGUGUGCGAUCGACUCCUUAAGCCACGCACUGGACGUUCAUACUAGACGCCGAUCCAGUCUAAAUUACCAGCUCAAAAUCCAGAUAAGGUUUUUUUUCUCUUCCGAUUUUGAAACACAGAUAUUGCAACUACGCACCACCGGCCGAGUGCCUAAUGGACAUUUUCUUGAUGAAGUGGCCCAUUGGGCCAUGUGACGACCAACAAGCCCAGUAAUCGCGAGCGUGCUAUAUCUUUUUGUCGUGGCCCGCAAAGGAGGAGGAGUUCCAGCGUGGCCUGGUUGGCGUAACAGUAACACACCAGAGGUGCAUGCGUUCCUAUCCCUACGAGCUGUGUUCGAAAGAUUGAGCCGACAGUCUGGGACAGCAAUAUUUUCACACGGUAUCUAAUUUUGUCACCAAAACACUCUCUUUUUCUGUCAAACAUUUAAUCACAUGCAACAUUUUACACGGGGCACGUAAUGUUUAGGGCCAGUUUGGCAGGGCUCCGGCUCCGGCUCCGUGUGCUUACCGAAGCACGGAGGAGCCGGAGCCGCAUCAAACGGCAUUGACCGCGGAGCCAUUUUUUGGCACAUUUGGGAGGAGCCGGAGCCGUUUUAGGUCUGCAUGGAGGAGCCCAAAAAAGUAGCUCCACGGCUCCGGCUCCGGCUCCACACGAGGAGCCCCUCGCGAGGAGCCCUGCCAAACUAGCCCUGUGACAAAAUGUGUUGCCAUUACCAUCCUUCUUGCAAUGUAAUGUAUCCAUUUUUUUCAAUGGAAAGCAUUGUCUCAUGCAAAAUGCCAAACUGGUCACAACUACAAUAGCUACGAGAGUGCAGUCUACUGGGCGUGACAGCAGGGGUGCGUGAUUUUGUUAGAUUUAACUUAAUCCAGGCAUAAACAUGUCAUUAACUUACUGACAUGCCUAAUCAUGACCACUAAUCAAAUUAGUACGGAGACUUAGAAAAAGGAAAACUUUUAAUCGCCAUGGAUGCUUCUAUUGUGGUAGUAGCAAGGUUGUAGAUGAAGUAGAACUUAAUCUUCACCGGAUCGGGAGCCUUUUACUCCUAGUUGAUGGAGAACUUACCUAGAUGCAAUUCACCCUCUCAAGAAGAGGUGUUCUGUUCUUGAUCUGGUGAACAACAUAUGAAGGUAGUAGAUGAAUCUUUUUUUUUGAAAGAAACAGGAGGGGCUAGCCCUACUGAAAUAUAUUAAAAAGAAGGUCUGAAAAGGUUACAAAGCAAACAACACCAAAACAGAAACAAGUGAAAAAGAAUAAACAAAGUACAAGAAGGAAAAUCAGAGGGAGUGGAUCCAAUCUAAGCAUUCCUGACUUAAAACAGAGUUCAUCCUGUGCGAGGCUACCAACGAGAGCUCAGAUAGAAAUUUAGAUCGAGUUCCUGAAAUCAACGGAUCCACAUUGUUAAAUGUCCAGUCGUUCCUUGUAGUCCAAAUACUCCAAGACAUGAGGAUGAUGAUUUCCAUGAAGAAGGAGGUGUUCAAAUGUCUUCUAAUCUGAUUGAAGAUAUGAACUGACGAUCUUGUGGAUACAAAGGAAAUCCCAAUCGAAUUCCAACAAGCUUUUGCAAAAUUGCAUCUUAGAAAUAGAUGUGCCACCGUCUCCCUUUUUUGGCGGAUACACAUUUCGCAGACGUUGGAAUCCAAAUGCAUCCCCCUUCUCUGUAGAACAUCUUUUGUGUUUAGCCUGUCUAUAAUCAGAAGCCAGAAGAAUACUUUGUGCUUUUUCUGACAUUUCGAUUUCCAUAGCCAGCGAUGGAUUGGGUGUGUUUCCCUUUAUCCUGUUAAGGCCUUGUAUGCUUUACUGACCGAGAAGGUUGAGGAUCCCCAGAUAUAAGACCAAAUAUCAGUAUCAUUCUGAGAGACUAUAUUAUGCAUAAAUUCCUGAAGCAUAAGAAAUUCCGAAUGAGCUUCUGUGGAUAAAGGCAAGUGAAACAACAAACUGAGAUCUGUCGUGCUUAUCGCUUUGUGAUACGAGAUGUUUUUGUUCCGUGCAAAAGAAAAGAGGUGGGGAAGCCCAGAUUGCAGGAAGUGAUCAUUCCAUGAGUCUUGCCAAAGCAGAACAGUGCUUCCAUCCGCAACCCGAGCAGAUGCAAAUCCCUUGUAUUUAUGUAACAAGUUGAUGAUAUCCUUCCACCAGAAGGAGCCCUUCUUCUGGACACCCGGGAGGGUACCAUUGCUGUACAAUUUAUCCCAUAUCAAGUGUACCCAAGGUAGAUCAACCUUGGAGAAAAAAUUGUGUAAGAACUUUAAUAAAAGAGCCUCAUUCUGUGUAAUUAUGUUGAGCACCCCUAAUCCCCCUUGACUUUUGGGCAAGCAUACUAAAGGCCAAGCUGCUUUGGAUGGUUUGGUAGAUGUUAGAUCUGAGCCUCUCCAGAGGCAAUGUUUUCGGAAUUUAUCAAUCUGAUGGAUAACCCCUUUAGGUAGUUUCAAAGUGGCCAUCUGAAACAUAGCUGAUGAUGUUAACACAGAGUUCACCAACUGUAACUUUCCUCCUUGUGAAAGCAUAGAUGAUAUUCCACCUAAUUUCCCUUCUAUUCUCUUGAUCAAAGGGAGGAAGUCUUGCAUAUUAGGUUUACGUAACCCCAGAGGUAAUCCCAGAUAGGUGAAAGGGAAUGUACCUGUUUGACAGUUUAGAAUACCAGCCAAAAGGUCAAGCUUGUCCUGCUGAGUGUUUAUGGGGACCAUCAUGGAUUUGUUGUAAUUUACUUUUAACCCAGUAGACUCUGCAAAAGUAUCCAGAAGGCUCUUUAAGUGUAUUAACUGACUCUGGUCAGCCUCCAUGAAGAGUAAAGUGUCAUCUGCAUACUGAACAAUUGGGAAGUCAUUACUGGCUCUCAAGGGAAUUGGAAGGGAAAUGUGUCCUUCCUCCUUAGACUUGUUAAUUAUGGAUUGGAGCAAGUCAGCAGCAAGCACACAAAGAAGAGGUGAUAGUGGGUCCCCCUGCCGUACCCCUCUUUUGCAGUGAAAUGUUUUACCUGGGACACCAUUCAGAAGCACUGACGAUGUGCCUGAUCUGAGAAUGGUCUUAAUCCAUCCUAUCCAUUUCUCCCCAAAGCCUUUAUGUUUCAGGAUCUCUAAGAUUGCCUUAUGCUCAAUACGAUCAAAAGACUUUUCAAAGUUCAAUUUGAGUAUGAUGAUGUCCUUCUUUGAAGAUUUGCAACAGUGCAAAAAUUCUAGAGCCCAAGCCAAGCAGUCCUGAAUGGUCCUAGAUUUGAUAAAUCCAUAUUGAUUCUGAUGAAUGAGAUUAGGGAUGACCUUUUGUAACCUCAACGCUAAAAUUUUUGUAAUGAGCUUUAUUGAUGAGUUUAGCAGGGAUAUUGGCCUGUAAUCAUUCACAUGCAAAGGGCCAGCUUUUUUUGGGAUAAGAGUAAUGAAAGAGGAGUUGAUGCUGCGCACACAAACUUCCCCAUUAUGGAAACCUUCACAUAAAGCAUAAAAAUCUUCAGCAAACUCAUGCCAGCAUCGUUUGAGGAAUUCUCCAUUAAAACCAUCAGGACCUGGAGAUUUAUUUGUGGGUAGAUCCUUGAUGAUACCAUCAAUUUCUUCUUUGGAGAAAGGCUCCUCUAAAUCCUGUAGACCCUCUGAUGGAAAUAGAGUAGCACUUAGAUCUAUAUACAUGUGAUGGUAGUCCGACCUGCCCAUUCUAUUUUUGUAUUCCGCCCAAAUGAGGUUUGCCUUAUCUUCAUGGUCUUUGACAUUCUGUCCAUUCUGAUCUUGCAGCGUCGAAAUGUGGUUAAUCUUGUUUCUUAUGGAAGCCUUUGCAUGAAAGAACCUUGUACUCUCAUCACCCAUUUUGGCCCAGUUGACAGAACAUCUUUGCUGCCCGUAGGUUUUCUGUUGCUGUAAAAGAUUUUUGAGAUGAUUCAUGAUAAUAUCUCUUAAAUUCCAUUCUUGCAGAGAUAGAUCUUUAGAUUCUUCCAGAAUAUCUAGGAAAAGAAUGACCUCCUUUGUAUUUUGGAUAGUUUUUGCUAGUCUUGGUAACCCUGCUUUCCAUAUUCUGAGUUCUCUUCUCAAAUUUUUGAAUUUUGCACCAAUGAUUUUAGCUGUGUCAGAGGAGGAAACCGGAGAAGUCCAGACGUUAUGCAGAAUGUCAUUGAAUUGUUCAUGAUGCAUCCAAUAGUUUUCAAAUCUGAAAACUUGAGAAGAAGGCAUUAGAUUUGAUAUGGAAAUGACACAUGGAUUGUGAUCAGAGGAGUCUCUUGACAGAGUUGUUGCCCAUGUGUUUGGAUAGACUGAAAUCCAGGCAGAAGAUGAGAAGAACCAAUCCAACCUCUCUAGUAACGGGUUAUUCUGUUUAUUUGUACAAGUGUAUUUUCCUCAUUUGAGUUGAAUCUCUGUUAGUCCUAACCUGCUGAUUGCUUCAUUGAACAGCAUCAUUUCUUGGGGAUGACCUCCAGGUUUAUUUCUGUCUGAAGGUCGUCUUAUCAGGUUAAAAUCCUCUACGACUAGCCAUUUUUCAUCAUCCAGCAUCCUAAUUCGCUUGAACCAAUCCAGAAAUUCUAUUUUACCUUCUGGGGUGCAUGGGGCGUAGAUGUUGGUUAGGAUCCAUGUUUCCCCUGACAUCUUACACUGUAACUCCACGGAGUGAGCAAAACUAUUUUGGAAAAUUGGCUGUCCCUGAAACUUAUUAGCAUUCCAUAUCAUAAUAGCUCCUCCUGAAUUGCCGAUAGACGGUAUGAAAUCGAAAAGGGUGAAAGCAGGGGGACAGAAAUUUCUGAGAUACGUGUCUGUGAAAACUUCCCUUUUGGUUUCUUGCAAACAUACGAUGUCUGCAUUAGAUUCCACUAUUUUACUUCUAACCGCAUUCCAUAUGACCGAUGAAUUAAUUCCUCUCACGUUCCAAGAUAGGAUAUUCCAAAUACAUUUACGACUCAUAAUCAAUAAAGAGAGAACAUCGUUUCCAAGGGCCCCUUAAUCCAAAGGGGAUAGAGAACCAGACCGAAAAAACCUUCAGAAUCCAGAAAGAACGAUCCAAGACAACUGAUAAGCUAAUCCCAAGAAUUGAAGCAACAAGCAAGAAUACCAUAGAAACGAAACCAACGUUCCAGCAAAAGAUCCCCCUAGUCAAUGACAGAUUAUAGUUUGUGACUGCCAUAAGAAAAAACUUGCAAUAAUACAUGUUUGCCGACAGACAGGAACUAGAAACAACAUCCAGAAAUCAUUCAGCUUCCGGAGUUCGGUCCUUGAGGCUUGGUCUUCUUGGCCUUCUUCAGCGUCUCCUGGGAAGAUGAAUUUCCUUCGAUUCCUACCACCUUCAUGGGGUUGGUCUUGGCUGACAAACUAGCAGAGGAGAUUUUUGACGAAUCAAUGUUGCAUACCUUUUCUCCCAGCCCCUGGAUGUGCGCUGAGGAUAGGGUGGGGGCUUUCGAGUGGCAGGCCAAGCAACAGCUGUCUUGACAGGUAGCAACACGAAAGCCUUCAUUUCUUGCCUUGAUUCUGCUACUCCUCCUAACAGAAGAUUCACACUCCGGAGCCACCGAACUCCCAAGUCUUGCCCUUGCUUUCUUCAGUGUGGGUGUCUUAGCAACCUUCUCAACGGAGGAAGUUGAAGAGAUACCACCCUCUUCCUCUUGACUGAUGCAAGGCAAGGGGCUGGUUCUGGGACAAACUGGGGGAAUGUUGAAGGCCAUCAUCGACGGGUUGUCCACACAGUUGAGCAUGAAGUUCCAAGCAGAGGAGGCAAGAAAUUUUUUGGCCCAAUCAAAGUGCUGAGGUGAGAGCAGCAUAUUGAUGAAGAAGGAGGCCCAAUCAGCUGGAAUGUAUGUGACUUGUUCAGGGCAGCCUGCUGGAAAAAAGUGCUGGGCCCAAAGUCUAAAGAUGUUGGGGUUCUGAAUAGCACCAGAUGUCUUUGGGUUUGACUCCGAAGUGGGGGAGAGCGUCUCUGGAAGAACCACACAUUUGUUGGUCUUUUGUGCCAGCACUGGGUCCCUAUGCCACUGGGAGUCUGGUAACAGCGCGAGAUUAACAUUGAUGUUCCCCAUGGGCUGGUCAUUUGCUAUCUGGUUGGCAGCUAUGAUCUGAACCUGCUGGUUGUUGGCAGGCAGCCCAAGAACAAUCUCCGGAUGGAUCAAGGGUCCAUCCUGCAUGGCAGCCUGCUGUGCAUGAAUAUCCAUAUACUGACCCAUUGGGGGGAUCGGCACUUGCUCAUGAAGUUGAUCAACUUGAUUGAAAGCAAUUGCCUGAGAGAUCCCUCCCGUGUAAAUAACUAUUGGGAGUGGGUCAUUGCUCAGAUCAGAAGAGCUCGAGGAAGGUGGUGGUGGUGAUAAGUUAAGAUCCAGGUCCAAAAUGACCUAGGGUUCCUCUUCUUCCUCAUGGAGUGCCUGGGCCUCCUCAAUAAGUAUGUCCAGGAAGUCUUCCUCAUUCAUUCCUUCCUCUUCUUCCUCUUGUUCAUUAGCCAUGUUGUCCUGAGCUGGGUUGCCAUUCAAAUCCGGGAGCUGACCCCCAGGACCAUCCAGAUCUAUAUUGUGGUUAUGUGGUUGGUUUUGUUGCUGCUGAUCAUUUAACUGAAAACCUGGGAAGACGAAUUCCCCAUCUGGUCCUCCUGGUGGUAUGUCCUCAUCCUGCAAUUGGGCCCCCAGCAUGUUCUGUUGUAAAAUUUCACACUGAACAGUAUAUGAAACACCCUCAAAGUCAUCUCCUUCUGACAGAAUGAGAUAAUGUGGGAUAUCCACAAGAUCUGUGACCCGUGCCUUUAUAAUAACUCUAGCCAGAACAUCAUCUUUCUGCCAAAGAAUAAUCCUGCCAAAAGAUCUGAUGGAAUCCUCGAUUUCAUGAGAGGAGCGGCUGUCAAUAGGAAACCCAAUAAGCAUAAGCCAACAUUCUUUGUUAAAGUUGACCCUACGGGCAUUGGAUGCACGAUUGUGUUGUACAAAAGUGAAGCUAAGACCAUUGUGGAAAAGGGGGCUUCUAGCAAUGAGAGCAUCUCUGUCCGAUGGCCUACCCAUUCUAACAAAAGCUUCACCUCUACCAAAAGGGCAUCUCUGAACUUCUCUUCCAAUCCAUUCAGUGUCUAAAUUGAGUAGUGUUUUAGACUAAUGAUGAGAUUAGAUUGGUUGAACAGGGUAUCCCUCAAACUCAUAUGUAGUACCGUGGGAUCGGAACCGGGUAUAAAGUAGGUGUACCUGACGAUCAUGGUAGGGUGGAGACUUAGAGUAACUCCAAAACUUAAAAUUGCCUCAAAAUCUUAUUUUAGAAAAAAUAAAAAAACUUCCGCGGUUCCUGGCGGUCCAGUCGCCGGAACUCGUCGGAGGUGGGUCAGUGGCGGAGCUUGGGAGGUCUAGAGACACAGGCACGACGAAGAGCGCCGACCACCUGUGGGCGAAGGCGGCCGAGUUGGAGCCGAACUUCACUGGGUACAAGCCUCGGCUCGUCGAGAGGAGGGCGCAGGCCGCCGCCGAGGUUGCCGGUGGCCGCGCCGAGGACGCUGAGGAGGAGUGCCGUGGCGGGGACGAUGCGGUGGCCGGGAGGGGCCGGAGGUACGAGGAGUACGUGAGGAGGAGGGACGAGCACCUGCGCUAGGAGUGGUGCACGCGCAUGGAGCGUAUGGAGGUGGAGAUGCAGGUGCUCUGGGCGCGCCUCGACCACGCCAGCUCACGCGGCUGCUAGUAGCAACGUCGGAGAGGUAACCCCUCGCGUGGUUCCCCGAACCCCGACGCUUUCGCUUCCUUGCUUGCAGUUGCAGCUGACAUCGUCGGCGACGUUGCUAUGAAGCGGUCAGGGUGAUGGGUGGAACUGAACUGAGUUCAGUAUUUUGGCUACGAAACUCACCAUAUCAACUCGAAUUUUCUCCGGAUUCUACAGUGCAACGUUGCAAUCAGUCAAAGCUGCUGGAGCCCAACAGAGGGGUCCACGUGCUGAUGUGGUCAGUUUUGAAGUAUUGAGGAGUUUAUUAUUAGGAAUCUACUGUGGGAUGACAUAAUUUUGGGAGAAUAAAUUUUUAGUAGAGCCCUCAAUAGAUAAUUUUAGGAGAUAUUUUUUGGUAAACUCUUGAAGUUGCUCUUAUGCACCAAGAUGAUUGGAUAAAAAAAUCCAACAAUUUUCAUUCCUUGGCGUUUAAUAAAUUACCUGACAGGAUACCAGACUAGCAGCGGUGUGCUGGACCGAGCUCAGCCAUGCGCCAUGCCUGUGUGGGCGCGCCGGCUCAGGACCCAGGUUACUCGAGCCACGGCCCGCGGUUGCUUUUGUGCUGGGAUAAAACAAAGGGAAUAGCAGAGGCAAAGCACCUGACCAUCCCCCUCGCCAAGAAAGAAGCCAGACGAACGCAAAUUAAACCCUAGCCGCCGGCGCACGUCUCGCCCCCCACGCCGUCCUCCCUCAGAUCCGGCCGAUCCGUCGGCACCAUGGCGCUGCGUUCUCUCGUCGGCAAGCUGAGGAUCCCCCCUGCUUUGGUGGCGGCCUCUCGCGCCUUCUCCCACAAGGUUCGUCCGCAGUCUCCCCCUCUCGGUUGUAAUCAUCGUCUCGCACGACGUGUCUGCUGUUCUGCGUGAGUCAAUCAUUAAUUCAUCAAUCUCAUGUUUGAAUCACCGUCCUGUGGAAUCAGGCCAAAGAUCUAUUUUUUUGGUUUGCCUGGUACCAAUUUUCUCUAUUCCUUACGGCUUGUCUGGCUGGGUGGGGAUUCGCCUCAAUUCCUCUCGGCUGGGGAUGUCAUAUUCGAAAUCUCCUAUUCCAGUAAUUUAAUUCGCCAUACUGUUACAAACUUACACUUGAAUCAGUCGAACCCUAGGACAAACCUACUAAAGAUUAUGGUGUAUGCGUAAUCCUCCUUCAAGUGCAUGAUCGUCUGAUACUUUCGCAUACUGCUUUGGUGAUACUUUGUUGCAUUUGUACUUGUAUUAUUGUUAAUAUUUCAAACUGGAUUCUUAGUUUAGAAGAAGAGGCAUUUCUUCAACACAUUAAUGCAGAUAUUGGUGUAUAUUCAUAGCUAGAUUUGAUUUAAUGCCCUGCAGCAUUAUUUUUUUUAAAAAAAUGUGUUCCUGAUACUAAAUGUGUCCUGGCCUAUAUACACCUUUUUAGUGUGUAGGAGCAAAGAUUGUGGUUUUUUUUACUCUUUCAGCAAGAACCACGCAUUUCAAGUGUAUUGUGGCGAAUUUGUGUGUUUUUUUUUGCAAAAUCCCAGAUGUUAUGUGCUAUCGUUAAUUCUUUGAUAAUGGAGCAUUCUAGUGCAUCAAGCUAUUUUCCAGCACUUCUCCAUGAGUUCGGUACCUCAAAGUUUGGGUUUUGUCCUCAGUAGAAAAUUAGAAAAUAUAAAUGCACACUUAGUCUAGCGAUGAGAUCUUUUGGUCAAAUAGAAAAGAAUCUGUCAAGUUCGGUAGAAUAGGAGAUGAAACUAUGCUGCAGAUACGCAUGCACAGCGCUAUGCCGCUUUCUACUAUUUAUUCAUCAAAGGUGAAAGGGCAGAACAAACUAAAGAUGCUAUUAUCAAUCCUAUUUCUACAUGCACAUGCAUGUCAUGACUCAGCUACUUGUGAAACUUUCCCAUGUGAAUGCCUUGCAUUUUUGCUGACCACACAAGGUACUGCAGAGUGUGAAUCAACAGUGCUGUCUUUCAUUUCUUUUGCCAGUGUUUACUUGUGAAAUAGCUAGCACCUGAUGCAUAUAAUGGCUUAAAUUGCGCAUGCAAGUUUAGUUGGGCUGCAAUACAGGCUAGCAUGGAUUCAUUAUAGGGUAGGUUCAAGUACACAAUGAGAAUGAAUGCAACUGAUCUUCUCUUUACCUAUCGCUUUGUAGUGUGAGCACUGCGGCAAAACAUCUUCAAGGAUUGGAGCCAAAGAUGAUUUGAGGUACAAGCCCCAUGGUUCUUAUAUCCUUGUUCUUCGAAGUCAACAUAAAAUUAGCAUGCAUCCAUGCCUUCUCUUUGACCCUUUCUUUUUUCUGAAUGCUUGACAGCGAGGAACUCAAGAGGUUCAAAAGGAAGCACUACAUGAUUAGAAUCGGAUCUGGUGUUGCUGCUUUUAGCAUUCUGGGAAUAAGUGGGAAAUACACUCUUUAUUUACUUGAAACUGGUCAACUACCAAAGGUUCGCAGAAGGAAAUGAGUUUUGACUACCUCAGCCUAUUUAAGUACCCUGUAGUAUUGUGUUAAAGCACUCUAGGAGAGUAUGCUCUCAGACAAUUUGUUCACUGCAUGCUGUGUUAUGAAGGUGGAAACUAUAAGACUAAUGAUGUGCCAUGCUGAAUCAGUUGUGAGACUCGCUGCUUGGUGCUCUUGUAAAAUUUAUCCCUGGAUCUAUAUGGAACUAUGAAAGCAUGGUUGUGGUUAAUGGCGACUUGUUUUCUUUCCGUAGAAGCAGCGUGUAACAUGUUUGAAGGCAUAUUUGUCUGUUCAUCCAAAUGGGCAAGUUAGAUUAGGAGUGUGCAGUUUGUUGUGAUAUUUGUGAUGUCAUGGCAGAGAAUCCAGACUAAUAAUGUUGCUGGAUCUGUGUAACACCCAAAAUUUGAAUAAUUUAAAUUCAUUAAAAUUUGCUCAAAUUAAGGUGUCAUUUAAAUUUUAGGCAUUUAAUUUCAUUUUCUAUAAUUAAAUUAAUUCAUCAUAGGAAUUAUUUGUGCAUUCAUGCUGGUGCAUUUAUUUUGAUUGCUUGAGUUUGAUUCAAAUUUUGAAUUUCCAAAUUUAAAUUCAAAUUCCAAAACCAUUUUUCCUUUUCUCUUUCUUUUUCUUUUUCUUCUUCUCUACCUGGGCCGCAUCCCUCCUUUCUCUCCCUUUCUUCUUCUCCUUUCGGCCCGCUCCCCCUCCUCUUUUCCUUCUGCGCCCGCGCGGCCCGUCGCUCCGUCCCCGCGGCCCAGCACCCCGCCUCCUCCUUUGCUCGGCCUACUCCUCCGUCCGCUCCUCCACGCGGCCCGCGCACCGCGCGCCGGCCCAUCGCUCCGCCCCGGCUCGCCGCUCGCCCGCGCCUCGCGGCCCACGAGCGCGCCGGCCCGCGACACCGCUCCAGCCUGCCUCCGCCCGCAUCCGCUGACGGGUGGGCCCCACCCGCCUUCUUCCUCCUCCGGCCGAAUCCGGCCUGGACUCCGCAACCGCCGCGCGCCUUCUCCGCCUCGAUCUCCACCUCCGCUCCGACUCCCGGGGGUUUAAACCUGCGCCGCCUCUAUCUCUAGCGCCUAUAAAAGCCGCCGCCCCCUCCCGGUCUCCUCCACCAGCACCCGCGCCCCAAACCCUAGCCGCCACGAGCUCCUAGCGCCGCUGCCUCUUCCCCGCCGUCGUUCACCGCCUCCGGUGAGAACCCGUCGACGAGGACACCCAAAACGGGAUCGCCGUGUUCCCCUCUUUCUUCUGGUGCCUUCCGCGCGUUAAACCGUGCACCGUGGCGUUAUUUCGCCCAACUCCGGCGACCCGCCGCCGCUCGCCGUCGCGCGCCGCCGCUCGCCGCCGCCGCCGCUCUGGUUUCCGCCGCCGUCGCGAGUCGUCGUCAACCGCAGCCGUCGGAUCAAGAUCCGACAGUCAAUCGCGGGUCAAUCCGGCCGCGUACCGGUCAACCGAGCCGCGCUGCGCCGCUUUUGCACUUAAGCCCCCGCCUUUUGCGCAAAUCAACCCGCGGUCCAGAUCGCGUUGAAAAUAAUUCCAGAUCUGCCCUCGCAUUUUUCGGUUUAACCCUUGAGCUUUCCAGAAAUCAACCCGCCGUCCGGGUUUGAUGUUUUUACGCGUCAGACCCUCGGUUUAUACGCAUAAUUACGUAUAAGCCCUCGGUUUUCGCGGAUAGGCCCUAAAAGUUUUGUUUUUCUCACAGAAAAGUCCCUGGAUCUUGUUUUAAUCAUAUCUUUUGCAUCUUAACUCCGUUUUUCGCGUUCUUUAUAUCCACGUGUUCGUUUUAAAGCGUAGAUCAUCUUUUCAAGCUUGUUUUCUCUGUUUGACUAUGUUUGGUGUACUAUUUUCUUACUUUUUGCCCAUGUUUGCUUGUAUGUGCUCGUGUGACGCGUGUAGACGCCCCGCAGUUCGAGGGAGUUGCAGAUCAAGCCUUCGAGGAGUACGAACAGCAGGAGCAAGGCCAAGAAGGCAAGUCGUGUCCUUGAUCACUACCUUUUUGUCGUAUACACCUUUACUUUCUCGUACUCAACAUUUAUGCUAUGCACAUGUUAAGAUUAAAUUGAUGGGUCCCAAUUAAGGUUCGCCUAGAUUGAUUUACCUUUGCCUUGACCAACCGGUUUACUUUAUGUUGGGUAGCUCACGCUUAGUGCUUACUUGGUAUAUGGUGGUUUAACUAAACACAAUGCUAAAUCUUGCUUUACUUCUGUUAUACCUUUCAUUAAGACAAGAUCAUUAUUUGUUAAUCGGAACAUGGAGCGACCACCCAGGAAAACAGUGCUACCACAAGACUAAAUGGCUCUGGUCUUGGCUGAUUAAUUAGAAACCUUAGUCUGGGGUGACCUUACUCGUGAUGAGGCAAGAGGGGGGACUGAGUCGUGCAUUUUACCUGGGAUGGGUGGUGCAUGCCAGACACCGAAACCUUAGCGGGUUACCACUGACUAAUGAAUCUUUGUAAAGGCCUCGUAGCGUCCCUAUGCAAUCACACCUCGGAAGUGUGGUAUGGUGCCUUGCAAACACCGCAUGUUUGGGUCCAAAGUUCUUAUGAACUUUUACACGACUUGUGGGUAAAGAUGUGCCACCUCUGCAGAGUGUUAAACUGAUCGAUCAGCCGUGCUCACGGUUAAGAGCGGCCUGGACCCUCACAUGAUAAUAUUAUCGGAAGAUGGAUUUAACUUGUUAUCAUUUCAUGCAUAUGUUGUUGCUUUAUUUAUGUUCAUGUUUAAUUUCGGGUGGUAUAAACUUAUACUUAGUUAAUUGCUAAUAAAACUUGACCAACUUAAUUAAAAGCGACUGCUAAUCAUGCCUUAGCCAUACCUUGAAUUAGCCUUACACUACACUAUUCCCCACGACUUGUUGAGUACCAACCAUAAGUGUACUCACCCUUGCAAAACCGCUGUUCAGACCAAGUUAAUUGGGAAGAGGAGUAUCUACACGACUUCGAGGAGUUCUAGGCGUACGUUUCUUCAGUCAGCUGCCUGUGGAGUCGUCGUCGUCUUUGGAAGUUCCGCUGCGUAAUAAUUAGACUUUGUGGUUUAUGUGAGACAUUCGGUCAUGUAAUAAUGGUUAUUACUCUCUUUAUUCGAUUUAGCACUGUCUUUGCUAUUCACUAUUGUCGUACAUGUGUGUAACUUGAUCCUGACGCACAUGUAUUUAAUGCACUCGAUUUUGUCCUUAAAAUCGGGUGUGACAAUCUGUUUGUUGCCACAAAGUGCAACGGGCAUGGUAGAGGAUCUACUCCCUCCAUCCCAUAAAACAUAUCAUUCUAGGAAUUUUACGACAUAUUAAUAAGAGGUAAAAUGACCUUGAUUGCUCCUAUUUAUAAUUGACUGUUGCAUGUUUACAUGCUCACAUGCCAAAUUGAGUAUAAUGACAUGUUGAUUAUAUAUAUUGAUAGAUCCAUUAUUUUGUUGGAUCUGUUCCACUUGGUGUAUCAUGCUAUGAAUUUCAUGCGGUUUUGUGCGCCCAGCUCCUAAUGGCGCGAAGCAAUAUCAACUGCGUAUCAUUUGCAUGAAACAUCUUGAAUGUCACUUCUUUUCUGAUGAUUAUGGAUGAAGCAUCUGUCCUGUGUAUGCAUGUUUCGUGGGAUGAGGCGGCAACAAGGGAACAGGGCUUUCCUCUGGCGUGUAUGUCAUGUCGUCGCUCCAUUCUUCAUCUAUCCCUCGCUAACCUAGGAAUGACAGCAGAUGACGAGAAUGCUGUAAUGCAUAAAACUGUUUGCCCGGACCAUACCAUCAUUUGGUGAGGAAAUUGGUCUGAAAAAUCAGGAUCUUUAAAAAAACUCACAAAUCAGGUUAGUUCCUAGACAAGACAGUUCAGUGGAUUUACUGGCAAUGGAACCCUCACUCCCCAGCACAGUUGGAAACUGUGGCUGCAGCUGAUCUGUCAAAGGCAAAUCAGCUUUAACCUCAACCUUUAACCUCAAAAAGUGUCUUUUGCUGUUAUUUUUAGACCAAUGGUCUAGAUCCUCUACCAUGUCCAUUUGACCAUUUCACUUUGACGUAACGUGUGUGGUUGUGGUACCCUCAAGUUGUCUGUGUGGCUUAAAUGUGGGUAAAUUGCUCAAAUUGUCAUUCGCCAAUUUUAUUUUUGCUUAAACUCUGCAACGUGAUGAUGUGGCUUCAGUAGGUGGUGUGUUGUGCAUUUUGCUGAAGAAAAAGAGUGGGAAGGGCUAAGACCUAAGAUGUUUGCUUGGAGAGUGUAGCGAGUGUUGGAAAUAUGCGUUUAAUUCUACCAGAUUUAAACAUGAGGCAUAUUACGUAACUCAUUGCUACUGCUAUGUAAUCAAAUUCUAGAUUCAAACAAAUAGGCGUAAUCCGCAACAUACUCAUAUAAACGGUAUAUAAAGGCAGCUUAAGCAGUGCAGAUGUAACGAAAACUUCUAAGCACGUAACCUUCCUGCACAUGAUGUAACCCAUACUGUAACAGAUCAAAUCUAUGGACUUACAGAUUAAGUGCUCCAUCCUCGUGUAGACACGGAUGCAGGGUUACUCGAUGCAGUGCAGAUUGUUGAUGAGGCAGUGUAGAAUGUAGUCGAUUGAUUCGAGCAGUCGUGCAGUUGCGCUGCCCAGAAACCUUAUUGUCGCCCCUCAUGCAGGCUUCCCGACAACAGCAGCUCGGAGAUACCACUCACCCUCCUCCUCGGUGCACGCCAAGGAGAAGAGCCGGCAAGAUCUGGCAGCUCAGUACCACAGCACAAAUCACCAGAUGGAAAAACAGCACAAAUCACCAGAUUGAAAAAGAGACAGAAGAGGAGUUUGUGGGAGUUUUCGCGUGUGUGUUCCUGGACGUCUCCAAGACUUCUUGUAGAGAAGACGACAACCCUUUGCUGACCGUUUCUGCUAUAAAAUUGCCCCACUAAUUGGCAGUAGUAAUCGCCCUAUUAAUUCAGGAUUAAGGCAUUGAUUGCAUGUUUAUCACCUCUAAUGACUGUUGUCAAAAGAUUACACGCCACCAGCACAAAGGUUACACCAACUUGGCUUGGCUGCAUGCGGUGUCCCAAAUCACAAGUCAUGCGAUUGGUUACGCGAAAAGGAGCGUGAAUAUGCGCGCGUGUUGUGUAACCCAAGCUCCAUUCUCUCCUUCAGUUAUGUAUUUAGAGAAGUGAGAGAACUCUCAUAUUUAAGUUGGCUUCCACCAACCCAAACUAGCAGUAUGUGAUUAUUGAAUGUCAUUGCACUCUUGCUUUGGGAUUCCAUUAAAUGGGCCUCUCCAUGGGCCAUUUUUCCAACAACAAGGACUAAUCAAGUGAGCAUGUAUACCACUCGUACGAGGCCUGAGUAAUUUUCACCCUUCACACACAUUCUGCCCUUCACCCUACGCACCCAUUCCUCAUCCCUGCACGCACUACUAUGCAAUCCACGUCUAGUACCGGUUGGGAACCUCCCUCUAGUACCGGUUCUGCAACCGGUGCUGGGAAUUCGGUACCAGAGGGGGAUCCUUUAGUACCGAUUAUUUCAACCGGUACUAGUAGUGACACCACUCCACGACAAACAUAUCGCGAGAACAAGGGGUAGCUGUUCCAAGGUGCAACCGUGCAAGCUGUGAUGAGCUUAAUUUCCACUUUUUUGGGACAUUAUGCUUAAUUUCCUCUAAUCCUUGGGUUGUUGGCGAUAUAGAAGCGGUUUGCAGGUUGGGUCGGUCCCCUCGGCAACCUGUGGGCUGUGGCCAUGCACAGUCGCAUGCAGCAGCACUUGCGCCGUUCUUUUCUGGCCUUCUGGGGAUGGAAAAAGAAAAGGGGCCGGCCUUUUGCAUGUGGGCAGCAUGAACCCAUGAUCCGAUCCCAAGGUGGUGUUUGCUUUUACUAUUGGUAUAAGUUCCAAGUUUUUGGCUUUUUGCUGCCCCCAAAUCAAGAGCUGAGUGGUUCGGAUCGAGCAUUCGAGCUCGAGCUGACACGUGGAUGGCUCCAACAAAAAAAAAAGACCCCUCCAUGAAUGGUCCUAAGCUUGGUCGAUAUUAGAAGCUGCCAAAUUCAUAACAUGUCCUGGAGUACGUAAAGAGUAACAACAGACAUGUUGCCAUAACUCCAACAAUUAAAACUGAUAUCACAUUUUUACACUAAUGGAAGUGGCGUUAAUAUCUUAAAUCCGGUGAAACUCACCUUACAUCUGUGACUUAGAGCCAAUUUGGUGGAGCUUACUCCGGCUCCUCCUACUGACACACUACUGUAGCGUCAGAGGAGCCGGAGCCGGAGUUAGCUCCUCCUUAGCCUAUGAGAGGGAGGGAGAGGAGGGAGAAAAAUGGAUCCGUGAACAAUGUUGCUACAGGACCGAAACAGUGCAUCGUUAGGAGGAGCAUGAGUCGGCAGGAGCUCCACCAAACUGGUCCUUAAAAUUUCGAAUUCUCAAAAACACAUGUGACUGUUCUACCAGAGAACAAGGAUCCCUAAUAUUUCCUCGUGGCUACUUCUCUCUUACAGCCCGGCACCCUCGUUAGGACAUCACCUAUGAUUGCAGCAGCAGAUGUACGAGUAUCAAUGUUGAUGAGUAUCUUGUUAUGAAUCAUUGUGUUGAUUCUUUCUUUAUACCUAGGGAGCUACCACUUGUAAUUUAGGAUAUCGGUUCCCAAAUCUUUGUAUCUCGUUUUCAUCUUAAGUCCUUAUCAAAAAAGAAAAAAAAACAGCCAUGUUGGCCGCACCGGAACAGAGCAUCCUCAAAGAUUUGCAGCCUGCAUUGUGCACCACCACCAACAAGAAUGCGGUUUAAUUAAACCGGCUGGUUUGGCUUCUGUUGUUUUCUGGAAAAUAUCAGAUUCUGUUGGCUUCUGUUUGAACAGGAGAUGAGGAGGAGAAAGCGGAGAGGCCACAGCAAGGCAGCAGCCUUUCACCGGGCCUAUCAGCUGGAGUUGGUAGGGCGGUAGGGCCUAUCAGCUGCUUCUCGAUGAGACUGCCAGAUGGCCCUCGGUCGCUCCUUGUCUCUCCGGCUCUCCCUCCCUCCUGUCCGCUCCGUCCUCAAAAAGAAAACCCUACUACCCUAGCAACAACCCCACCCACUCCCAGCUCCCUCUCCCAGCUUCUGGCCGAAAACCCUAGCAACAAUCCACACACCCGUCCCCAAUCCACACACCCGUCCAAUCCAAAAUGGCCGCCGCGCGGGCCCUCGCCGGCAAAACCCGUGCCGGCGCCGCGUCCCGGCCGCGCGUCGCGGCGGUGCUCCGCGCGCCCCCGCUAGGCGCCGACCCGCCCUCUCUCGCGGCGGCGCUCCAGGCCCCGCGCGCGCCUCCGACACGCACCGUCCGGCCCGCUCUCGCACCGGCGCUCCUCGGCCCGCGCGCGCCUCCGCUGGGCGGCGGGUCGCCUCGCGCGGCGGCGCUUCUCGGCCCGCGCGUCGCGGCAGCGCUUCGCGCGCCCCCGCUAGGCACUAGUAGAGAAUUGGGCUUUAAUCCCGGUUGGUAGGGUGCAAAUAUCCCGAAAAUGCAUCCGGGAUAAACCAACCGGGACAAAAGGGGGGGUCUUUUAUCCCGGAUCACUCAACCGGGACAAAAGGGUCGAGAGCGCCGACGCUGCAAAAAAAAAAAAAUUCCCAAGCUGGCCCCCCACACACGCAAGUCACAAGUCACGAGAUUUUUCACGCGAAAUAUGCGCGUGCGCGGUUCGUGGGAUUCGAACCCACAACCUCCAGCCUCACGCGUAGCUUCCUUGCCAUCCCACCUACACACCACAUCUGACUAUGUAGGGGAUACUAUCCUUUUGUAUUAACUCGUGGGGGACCCUUUUAUCCCGGUUGGAAACACCAACCGGGAUAAAAGACCCCCUUUUAUCCCGGUUGGUGUUUCCAACCGGGAUAAAAGGGUUCGAGGGAUUUAAUCCCCUUCCAGCCACCUUCCAGUCACCUCGUUGGGGGCCCUUUUAUCCCGGUUUGAAACACCAACCGGGAUAAAUGACCCCUUUUAUCCCGGUUGGUAUUACGAACCGGGAUAAAAGGCUCUUGACCCUUUUAUCUCGGUUGGUGUUACCAACCGGGAUAAAAGACGUUUAUCCCGGUUGGUGUUUCAAACCGGGAUAAAAGACCUCUCAGAGUCUUUUUUCCCAUUAGCCUUUGCAACCGGGAUAAAAGGUUCCGGUUGGUGAGGCCCCCACCAGUGACUGAGUUUUAGUCCCGGUUGGUGAACCUUUUGUCCCGGGCCAACUUUAAACCGGGACAAAAGGAGGCGUAUGGAAAGCCAAUUCUCUACUAGUGAGGCGCCGACUCGCCCUCUCUCGCGGCGGCGCUCCAGGCCCUGCGCGCGCCUCCGACACGCGCCGCCCGGCCAGCUCUCGCACCGGCGCUCCUUGGCCCGCGCGCGCCUUCGCUGGGCGGCGGGUCACCUCGCGCGGCGGCUCUCCUCGGCCCGCGCGCGCGGCCGCUGUGGCUCGGGGCUGGGGCGCGCGUGCCUUGCCUCCUCCGCCUCCCCGCCACCGUCGUGUGCCGGGGUCUCCACGGGGUAGGCAUCGAGCCCGACAAGGCCGGCCACGUCGACGGCGACAAGUCCAGGUACGCCGCCACCAAGAGCGACCCCGAGAUCCACCCCGCCGCCGUCGUGUGCCGCGCCAAGCCAAAGGACGUCUCCAUGCGCGCCGCCGCCGAGCUCCCCUGCAACGGCGACGACGGCUCCUCCACCUCCAGCGACGUCGAGGGUGCCGGCGGGAUCCACGUCGAGGACGAGGUGCCCGCCGCCGAGGACGUCCGCCCUCACGGCUCCUCCAGCGACGUCGAGGGUGCCGGCGGGAUCCACGUCGAGGACGAGGUGCCCGCCGCCGAGGACGUCGCUGCUACCCGCGCCACCAAGACCGCCCCCGAGAUCUCCGAUGUAACACCCAAAAUUUUGAAUAAUUUAAAUUCAUUAAAAUUUGCUCAAAUUAGGGUGUUAUUUAAAUUCUAGGCAUUUAAAUUCAUUUUCUGUAAUUCAAUUAAUUCAUCAUAGGAAUUAUUUGUGCAUUCAUGCUGGAGCAUAAUUUUUGGUUGCUUGAGUUUGAAUCAAAUUUUGAAUUUCAGAUUUAAAUUCAAAUUCCAAAACCCUUUUCUUUUUCUUUCUUUUUCUUUCUUCUUCUUCUUUCCCUGGGCCGAAAUCUCCUUCUCCCUCCUUUUCUUUUCUUCCCUCGGCCCAGCUGCAGCUUCACCGGCCCGCGAGUCCGCCCGCCGGCCCCCUUUCUUUUUCUCCCGCGCGGCCCGUCGCUCCUUCCUCCGCGGCCCGCCGCUUCACCCCUCCCCCUUUUUUUCUUCUGCCGGCCCACGCAGCUGCCCCGGCCUGCUCCGCUCGCCCUUCUCCUCCGCAGCCCACGAACCGCGUGCCGGCCCAGCUGCUGCGCCAGCCCGCUUGCGCCACGCCCACCGACAGGUGGGGCCCACCGCCAUCGUCUCCCACCUCCGGCCGGAUUCCCGCAACCGCCGCGCCGCCGUCUCCACUCGGGACUCCCUCAUCCGCUCCGAAUCCUCCGGGGAUUCAAACCCGGGGCUCUAUCUCCAAGCCCCUAUAAAAGCCGCCGCCUCCUCCCGGUCUCCUCCGCCCAAAACCAGCGCCGCAGCUCCCCGAAACCCUAGCCGCCCGAGCUCCUAGCGCCGCCGCCGCUUCCCCGCCGUCUUCCGCCGCCGUCGGUGAGCUCCGGUCGACGAGGACCCCCAAAAUGAGUUCGCCGCACCCUCCUUUUUUCUUCUGGUGCAACCCGCGCAUCAAACGGUGCCCCGGAGUGCCGUUUCGUGUAGCUCCGGCGACCCGCCGCCGCUCGCCGUCGCGCGCCGCCGCUCGCCGCCGCUCUCUGCCGCUCGCUGCCGCCGCCGCGAUGUCGUGGACGACCGUGGCCGUCCGAUCUUAAUCCGACGGCCGGACACGAGUCAAUCAAGAUCGCGUACCGGUCAACUACGCCGCGCCGCGCCGCUUUUGCACUUAAGCCCCCGCCUUUUCCGCAAAUCAACCCGCGGUCCAGAUCGCGUUAAAAAUAAUUCCAGAUCUGCCCUCGCACUUUUCGGUUUGACCCUUGAGUUUUCCAGAAAUCAACCCGCCAUCCGGGUUUGAUGUUUUUACGUGUCAGACCCUCAGUUUAUACGCAUAAUUACGUAUAAGCCCUCGGUUUUCGCGGAUAGGCCCUGAAAGUUUUGUUUUUCUCACAGAAAAGUCCCUGGAUCUUGUUUUAAUCAUAUCUUUUGCAUCUUAACUCCGUUUUUCGCGUUCUUUAUAUCCACGUGUUCGUUUUAAAGCGUAGAUCAUCUUUUCAAGCUUGUUUUCUCUGUUUGACUAUGUUUGGUGUACUGUUUUCUUACUUUUUGCCCAUGUUUGCUUGUAUGUGCUCGUGUGACGCGUGUAGACGCCCCGCAGUUCGAGGGAGUUGCCAAUCAAGCCUUCGAGGAGUACGAACAGCAGGAGCAAGGCCAAGAAGGCAAGUCGUGUCCUUGAUCACUACCUUGUUGUCCUAUACACCUUUACUUUCUCGUACUCAACAUUUAUGCUAUGCACAUAUUAAGAUUAAAUUGAUGGGUCCCAAUUAAGGUUCGCCUAGAUUGACUUACCUUUGCCUUGACCAACCGGUUUACUUUAUGUUGGGUAGCUCAUGCUUAGUGCUUACUUGGUAUAUGGUGGUUUAACUACACACAAUGCUAAAUCUUGCUUUACUUCUGUUAUACCUUUCAUUAAGACAAGAUCAUUAUUUGUUAAUCGGAACAUGGAGCGACCACCCAGGAAAACAGUGCUACCACAAGACUAAAUGGCUCUGGUCUUGGCUGAUUAAUUAGAAACCUUAGUCUGGGGUGACCUUACUCGUGAUGAGGCAAGAGGGGGGACUGAGUCGUUGCAUUUUACCUGGGAUGGGUGGUGCACGCAAGACACCGAAACCUUAGCGGGUUACCACUGCUUAAUGAAUCUUUGUAAAGGCCUUGUAGUGUCCCUAUGCAAUCACACCUCGGAAGUGUGGUAUGGUGCCUUGCAAACACCGCAUGGUUGGGUCCAAAGUUCUUUUGAACUUUUACGCAACUUGUGGGUAAAGAUGUGCCACCUCUGCAGAGUGUUAAACUGAUCGAUCAGCCGUGCUCACGGUUAAGAGCGGCCUGGACCCUCACAUGAUAAUAUUAUCGGAAGAUGGAUUUAACUUGUUAUCAUUUCAUGCAUAUGUUGUUGCUUUAUUUAUGUUCAUGUUUAAUUUCGGGUGGUAUAAACUUAUACUUAGUUAAGUGCUAAUAAAAUUUGACCAACUUAAUUAAAAGCGAAUGCUAGUUAUGCCUUAGCCAUACCUUGAAUUAGCCUUACACUACACUAUUUCCCACGACUUGUUGAGUACCACCCAUAAGUGUACUCACCCUUGCAAAACCCCUGUUCAGACCAAGUUAAUUGGGAAGAGGAGUAUCUACACGACUUCGAGGAGUUCUAGGCGUACGUUUCUUCAGUCAGCUGCCUGUGGAGUCGUCGUCGUCUUUGGGAGUUCCGCUGCGUAAUAAUUAGACUUUGUGGUUUAUGUGAGACUUUCGGUCAUGUAAUAAUGGUUAAUGCUCUCUUUAUUCGAUUUAGCAUUGUCUUUGCUAGUCACUAUUGUCGUACAUGUGUGUAACUUGAUCCUGGCGCACAUGUAUUUAAUGCACUCGAUUUUGUCCUUAAAAUCGGGUGUGACAUCCGACGCCAGGGAGAAGGACGGCGCCGGCGAGGGCAAAUGCUGUGACUGUCUCAGUGCGUUCAAAGCCUACUCUGAUCACAACAGAGAGGUUACAGUGAGUAAAAUCAAGAAGAUGUGGGAAGAGCACAGGUAGCGUUUGGUGAUUCCAUGCCUUCUUUUUAUUUCUAUAUAUGCAUUAGCGUUUGUAACCUGAACACGCAUUGUGCAGCGAGAAGCAGCUCAAGCAGCAGAAGGUGAGCGAAAAGAGCAGCCGCACGACUCUUACGAUUACCUUCUGCUUCAUCAACAUUGUCCAGAUUGGAAUUGUGGCAAUGGUUGCUGUAAUCUGUGGUGUAUCGUACGCGGUGGAGGAAGCUCAUGACAAGCUGGUAGUUCUAUCCAAGGAUGAGAAGACCAGAGAAAUUGUCAACAACCUUCUGGAUAUGGUGAGAAAUUACUUGGAAGAGAUUAGUCUGGUUGGUGAAAUUCUCAAGAAGAUGAAGAGUGGGACUGCAUGGGUAAUCAGCAAGACAUACUCGGCAAUCACAAAUUCUCAUGGAAGACAUACUCGACAAUCACAAAUUCUCAAGGAAGUGCUACGUGUGGCACAGAUCACAGACUCCACGAAUGCUUGUACAGACUGUGUUUAUAUCACUCGUUCUAAAAAAUGGUUGUAUCACUUGCUGAGUUGGAUUUAUUCCUUAGUCAAUUCAUCUAACAAUUCAACGAUUCUUUUCCAAAUAGCAAAAGUGCAACUAUAGAUGGUGGUUAUUUAUAGGUGUGCCCCUUGAACUUAUUUGAUGAUUUUAGAUACUUUAUUAUCUAUUAACGACUUUAUUUCAUUAUCGUCUCUUCCUUUGAACUAGAUGUAUUGCUUGAGCUAUGAUUUGAGUAUUUGACCGGCCACCUUGAGGGUGUAGGGUUCAAGUUCAACCGGUGUUGUUGGGUUAUGUUUGCGCAGUGUGCGUUGGGAUUUACACGUACUGGUUGCGCUUGAUCCACAGGUCAUAUUGGAGUGGAGACACUAUGUUCUCCUCUUUUGCCGCUGUUGGGUGGGUGUUCUUGUGCUUAGCAAAACAAGUCUGGGAAUGUGCUUAUCAAUUAUUCCCUCCGUCCAAAAUUACAAUUUGUUUUGAUCUAGACGUAGUAUAUAUCUACUCCUAUGUGCAUAUAAAAAGUUAUAUUCCUAGAAAAGCCAAAAUGAAUAGUAAUUUGGGACGGAGGGAGUAGUUCAUAUAUAAAGCUGUAUUUAAGAGAUAUUUUUAGAGAUAUUUUAGAGUCAUUUUUAGAGAUAUUUUAGCGAUAGUUUUUAGAGAUAUUUUGUUCUUUCAUUUUGGAGUUAACUGUAGCAGGUGCUGUUGCUUACCUUGAAGAUGAUGAAAGCUUCCGUACCAUCCAUGUAAAUCGUAGUGGUCUGUUAAAGCACUCUAUUUAUGGUAUGGUUUCUGAGAGUACACACCAGACAAUAUGUGCAUGGUACACUGUGUUAUGAUGUUGCCUUAGUAGAAAGGUGGUGGAAACUUAUUAUGGGACUAUGAUGUACUAUGUUAAAUCGGUUUGAAUGAAAACUUUGGAACUGAUGCUUGCCACUUGGGUGCUGAUUUGCUGCUGGAUCUAUAUGAAAGCAUGAUUGUGGUAAAUAUUUAGGUGCAUAAUAAUAUCUAUGAAUCUAGAAAAGCUAAAAUGACCUACAAUUUGGAACGGAGGAAGUAGUUAACUGGAAGACCACCUUUUUUUCCUGCGCUGAAGCAGUGCACUUAUGUUGUUGCUAUAUGAAAUAAUAAGCAGUACACAUAUGAGCUCUUUACAGAAAGCUCAUUCCAAAUGCUCCUUAGGAAAUUAAGUUGGAUGAUACCGAUGAGAGGCAGAUUUUGCAUCAUCUUGCUAUAGCAUGCCGUGCUUUAUCUGAGUGUGUAAAAGACUGUAAUGAUCUCAAAAGAAGCAUUGAUGAGCAUGGCUUUUCAGUUGAACAGAAAGCAACAGAGCUGUUUGAUGUAAUGUCCAACUUGCGGAAUUAACAGACUCACUUCUCAGCAUAAUGAGUUGGAAUCUUUGAGAGCAAAAUUUGUUGAACUAUAGUCAGAGAUAAAGAAAGAGACGAGGAGAUUGUAUCUGAACGCAGGAAUAUGAGCUUGCUAUAUGAAGCAGGUACUAGUUCAGUUGCUGAGAUUGAAGGGAUGACUGAUAUAUACGUACCCUGGUAACAAGAGCUAUUCUGUUGAUCAUUCUGCAGAUGAACGUAUAAAAUCAAUAGUUGAACAGUUAGUUUUAGCUGUAAAAACUUCUCGGAACAGUAAUGAAGGCAGCACAAAGGAACUGAAGGCUACUGUUCUUGAGUUGCAGCAGGAGCUUCAAGCUAAAGAUAUUCAAAUUAGCACAAUCAGUUCAGAGCUUUCAUAUCAGUUAAGGGCGGCUGAAUCUUCUGCAAAGCAGCUCUCAGUUGAGCUUGAAGGUGCAAAAAUGGAAGUCCACAAUUUGGCGAAACAAGUUGAUAUGUUGCAUAAUGAGAACAAGGCUUUAGAGACUCAAGUCAAUGAGCUUAAAAAUAUGGAGUCAGUGGCAAGUGAGCAGCACGGAAGAAUUAAGGAAUUGACUGAUGAACUAAGCAGAAAAGACCAAGGUGAGCUGUCAGAACAUUUUGAUUCAGUUUGGUUUGAUUACUUAUGUUUUGUUCACUGCUACAUGUUUUCGGCUUUUCGCAUAAUUAAAUAAGUCGAAAACACUUGUUCCUAUGGUUGUUAAUACUUCCUUUUGUGUGUGUAUUCUGCAGAAAUUGAAGGUUUGAUGGAAGCACUUGAUGAAGAAGAAAAAGAGGUUGAAGUCAUGGAGAACAAAAGUCAUGAGUUGGAGCAAAUGCUGCAAGAAAAAGAAUUUGCUUUAAGGAGAGCAGAAUUUGGAUAUAAUCUCCCCCCUCCCCGGUGUGUAGGGUAGCCGCCUGAACGUGUCUUUCCAAUCAUUUUGCACUUUGUAUACAGUCCCUCAACUUUUUACCUAAAAAUGUGUUGCCAUCAUUUUUCACCCCAAUGGUUUAGAUCAUCUGCCAUGCCCACUGCACUUUGUGGUAACGCUAUGGGUAUCCUCGAGUUGUCUGCCUAUCUUACAUGUGGGUCCAAGGCUUCCAUCAAUCCAUCAUUUACAUCUAUUGUAUCUAUACAUAGCGUAUAUUUAUUUACUUCAUCCGACAGCGUCUGUUCUAAAUUGUAGGUCAUUUUAACAUUUCUAGAUUCAUAGAUUUUGAUAUCUAUAUAUACUACAUCUAAACACAUAGUAAAAAUUACGAAUCUAAAUAUGUCAAAACGACCUACAAGUUACGAUGGAGGGGGUAUAUUUUAAAUUAUUAAAAUUGGCACAAGAUACCAUAAAUGCUUAAACUAUGCAGGCACUCCGUCUGCAGUUUGCUGAUGAGAAAGACUAUAAGGGGAUGUUUGGAUACCCUGCACUGAACUUUAGUCCCUGCCACAUCGUAUGCUUGCACACUAAUUAGGAAUAUUAAAUAUUAUCUAAUAAUAAAACUAAUUCGUCCUGGGGCCAUGAAACGGUGAGCGGCCGGGGUCCCCGCAGCUCCCCUGUGACCUGUGGGCUGCGUGGGUGCACAGGCGCAUGCAGCCACUGCCUGCUGGCCUUCUGCACUUGCGCUGUUGUGUUCUGGCCUUCUUGGGGAUGUGUAAAGAAAAGAAGCUUUUUGCAUGUGGGCACUAUCAACCCGUGAUCUGAUCCCAAUGUGGUGUGUUGGCUUUUGGAAGUUUUUGCUGCCCCAAACCAAGAAACCAAGUGGUUGGGAUCAAGGAGGAACUGACACGUGGGUGUCUCCGAUUAAAAAAAACCCUCAUAAAUGGUCAAUGGAAGUUGCCAAACUCAUACUAUAUCCUGGAAUGCGCCGCAACAGACAUGUUGGCAGUGGCAGAGCUGGACAGCUCGUCGCCUCGUCCUCAUAUGUUGAUCGUGUGAGAAACCCUAACAUGCAAUUUGAUUAAUAUUUAGUGAAAUUAUGUCAAAAUUGUACAUGCAUGUGCCUGGCAGAACGAAUAUUGCAGCAAAUUAGCUUGCAUACUAUCGGUUCUUCUAUUUGCUCCAACUCUAAAUGAACUAAUUAACCAGCUGAAGUGGAGUCCUUGUUAAAUUAGAGAUUAUUAUUAUAGCCUUAGUAACAAGUCAAUCGUUUAAAUAAAAUACACAUAUAUUUGCAAAUAAGAAAUCUUAGCUUUCUCACUUUCUCUAUAUAAUCGCGAGAAUUGCUAGACUUUAUUUUGUUAUUAUACCUCAGUAUGCCCAAUGCAACAUAUUUUUUUGGACUAAAAGACUAUUAUUCUAAAGUCUCGCUAAUUAUGUUCACGUGUACAUAUAUAGAACUAAAAGAUGACAUCUCACAAGUAUAAAAAUGCUCAUAAUAAACAUCUUGGUUGUCUUAGAUUUUUUUUAAUUGUAAAGAUGGAUUUGACGGUUCGUAACACCAAUUGCGUGACAUAAUUUAUCCGCCACACAACUUGGUUUCACCAUACUUAUCUCUCACGGUUGAGAAUAUAUAAUGUCAUGUGACAAAAAAUAGAGAGUAUAUGUCAAGGUUACUUUCUCGAAGCAUGCAAGAAACCCAAGCGCUCAGCGCAACGACAGUUCAAAUAAUAUCCACCAUGCUUCAUUUCAUCAUCAUAUGCAAAUUCGGUAGGUAUCAGGUGCUUAAUAAGGAUGAUGGGAUGAUGAAGGUGGUGAAGAAGGACCCUAUAGGACAACACCUCCGAUCAUAAAGUGGCAGCACCGAGGAUGGUGGAUGGCUUUGGUCUUUGGACACUACUACCUAUCAUGCUAUCACUUAUACAUGCGAACUCGUGGUGCCUUGCGCCAAAGCAUGCAUGUCAGGUAGCUACGACUCUAUAGGCCGGGCAGGCUAGUCGCUAGUCUAGCGGCAUGGAAUCCCUGUGUAACUGCCUGUCUGGCCAGGGCCCACCUCGGUGCUGCCACCAGUACUACGUGCAGAACAUUAUUAUUAUUUUUGAAUUGUCAUCGUGCUUAAACUUGCUAAUGACACUCAUAGGUUGGGUAGUGCUGCGCUAGAAAUUUACUACCUUUUUGCAGGAUGGGCGAGGAUCUUGCUAAGCUCAAUUCCUUGGGGUAGGAGGAAAUAUGGAUUAAUUAUGUUGGAUUUAUUCCUUAGUCAAUUCAUCUAACAAUUCAACGAUUCUUUUCCAAAUAGCAAAAUUUCAACUAUAGAUGGUGGUUAUUUAUAGGUGUGCCCCCUUUCAAGUGCUUAUUUGAUGAUUUUAGAUACUUUAUUGUAUCCCUGCUCACAAUAUUUCCUUUCAUCCUCUUAUUUUAUUUGGCAUCAUUUAUAGUCGCUCAUUACAGCAUUUCAGCACAUUGAGGUUGCCAUCGGGCCAUUGAUCAACCAACACUUGGCAUCUUACAAUCUGCACAGCAAGAGAUAUUUUGUCUCAGCCUUCUGUUACUAGACAACCACAAAUUCUCAUGGAAGACAUACUCGGCAAUCACAAAUUCUCAAGGAAGCGCUCCGUGUGGCACAGAUCACAGACUCCACGAAUACCUGUACAGACUGUGUAUAUAUCACUCGUUCUAAAAAAUGGUUGUAUCACUUGCUGAGUUGGGUUUAUGCCUUUAUGGUCUGGUUUGUUUCAGUGCAAGCUCUGAUGAUGUCAGCAAUGUCGCCUUAUCUCAUCAGACUCACGGUAGUGUCACAUAAUUGGCAAUUGGAUGUAGUGCCAUCGUUCGAGCAUAAGCGUGGUGACCGGCCAGCGAGCACUUCUAUUAGCAAAGAAAUAUGGCUUGAAACAUUAUAAUAUGCUGCUUCUACGGAUGUACCGGUCAAGAAAACAAGUUGCCCAUUCACCACAACCAUAGCUUCACAUAGAUCCAAGGAAAAUUUUACAAAAGUGCCCAAGUGGCGACCGCCGCUUCUAAAGUUCCAAUUCAUUCAACUAAUUCAACAUAGUACAUUAUAGUCCCAUAGUUUCUACCACCUUUCUACAAAUGUAACAUCAGAACACAUCACAUUAUAAAAAGUUGUCUGAGAGUAUACUCACACAAAACACACCAUAAAUAGAGUGCUUCAACACAGUACUACCGAGUUACUUAGAUAUGCAGAUAUGCUAAUACAGUCAAAUUAAUUUAUUUCUUGCAAUCGUAGAGUUCAUCUUCAAUGCAAGCGGCAGUAGCUUUAAGGGGUGUUUGGGAGACAGGGGGUAUUUAAUAUUCCUAAUUAGUGUCCAAACAUCCAAUGUGAAGCCCCUGUCUCCCAAACACCCCCUUAAUAACUAACCACGACAAGGUACAACUAGUAACAACACUUGUGACUCUGAUCAUGUAGUGCUUCCAUACGGCAUUUGGUAUGGCAUGUGCAUGUGCUAGUGAAUUAGCACCGAAUAUAGCUAAUAAAUAGGAAUAACUUAUUAAUAUGUGCUAAAUUUUUUUUAAAAUGAUUUAUUUUUUAGGAUGAAUGGAGUAGCCAUUAAAUGAAUGACUGCCACGUAGGAUUUUAGAUGAUAUGUCACAGAAUUAGGGCCUGUUUGGAUGGGCUAUAGCUAAAGUUUAGCACUUCCACCUAUUAGCAUUCUUAUUUGGAGAUAUGACUAAUAGAUAGAACUAAAGUCCAUGAAAUGUCACUUUUACCCCUUAUUUCCUCACGUCCCCUUUCUCUGUCUCCUCUUUUCGAUCUUUUCACGAGCCAUUAUCACCUGUUAUCUCCUCCUACCAGCUAAUACUUUUUCCUUUUUAGGUGGGCUAAAGUUUAAUGGAUGGGCUAAUGCAAGAAAAUGCUUUAGCACUUUCACCCAUUAGCUAUGGAUCCAAACAGGUCCUCAAUAGAUGGAGAUGAAUGCUAUAUAUUCAUGGAGAUAGAACUUAGGGGGUGUUUGGAUCCUGGAGCUAAAGUUUAGUCCGUGUCACAUCGAAUAUUCAGAUGCUAAUUAGGAGGACUAAAUAUGAGUUAAUUAUAAAACUAAUUACACAUAUGGAGGCUAAACGGCGAGACGAACUUAUUAAGCCUAAUUAAUCCAUCAUUAGCAAAUGGUUACUGUAGUAGCACAUUAUCAAAUCAUGGACUAAUUAGGCUUAAUAGGUUCAUCGCGCCGUUUAGCCUCCAUUUGUGCAAUGGGUUUUGUAAAUAGUCUAUAUUUAAUACUCCUAAUUAGUAUCUAAACAUUCGAUGUGACAGGGGCUAAAGUUUAGCCUAGGAUCCAAACACCCCUUAGAUACGAAAUCCAACACGUUGAAAACUCAAACAUACAAGUGGCUACAAUUUAUAGUCAAGAAUAUAUGAAACUUUAAAUUAUUUUAUGGAACCUAACAAAUAACAUAUAAUAUUGUGCAUCUGGAUAGUUGUAUCGUUGAUAGUAUCAUUUGAUAUGGAAAUUUUGGAGAAUGUGAUGUGAUACAAGGAUUGGGGUUAGAUUAAGAGUGACUCCGACAAUCCCCUUUCCCCCUUUCAGCCAUUAAAGGAUUGACGGAAAUUUUUUUUCCAAUAAACCUGUUUACAUUCUUCUUUUCCCUUCAAUCUCCUUAUAUCUCUCACCUUUUUCCUUGUCCUUGCCGUCGCCGCCUUGUCCCCUGCAGGCCGACUGGGCCGAGCACCACCACCCGUGCGGCAUUGUUGGCCGCCGACAAGGAUGCCACGUGCCCCCAAAAAAUCUACUGCUUGACCACUUCGCCAUGUGGGGCCGCACCAACGGCAGCGGGCACAUGGGGCGCCCCAUGUGCCUAUGGUCGACAAGCAUCGCCGCCAUAGGCCGGGCUCACCUCGUCGCACCUUGCCUGAGCCCCAUGUGACAUGAAAUGAAAAAAAAAAGAUAUGCUGCAGCACUCAUAUCUGAAAUUCGAAAAUUAUGAAAGAUGAUUCCCGUAUAAGAGAAUAAACGGGGAAUGAGAGAAUCAAACUCUUUCUACCCGUAAGAACUGCCAUAUAGUUAUCAGUUUUAGCCUUUGGAGCUACCUUAACAUACGCUGUGCUCGGUAUGUGCCAAAAGGUGAGCUCAGGGAUCCUGCAGGGUCAGACAUGAAAUAAAUAUAUGUUCCAACAAGUAUUUUGCUGCAUAAAGCUAGUUCAAUGUAGUGCGUGCAUGGAGUGAGUGUUGAAAUAUGCAAUGCACACUUGGAACAUCUAGAAGAUUGUGGAGAUCUCAAGAGACUAACUUUGCUAUGUAUAAGGAUAAGAUCAUGGCAAGGUAAGAAGGUUCUAGAAAAUUAGAGAGAAUGCAUGAGCCAUAAUUGCCAUGCUUCAUGGUGAAGUGUAGAAUAUAUUCUAAAACUAGAUAUUUUAGCAUGGUAGAAAUAUAAAAAACUAGAUAAGGAUGAGGAGGGUUCUAGAGUUAGGAUAUUUUGUAUUGAAGAGUGUGAAAGUUGCCACAUGACAACACCACAAUGAUCAUAAGGACCUAUAAAUAGAGGUGCUCCCCUCCCUCCUAGCUGAUUUCUCAAUAGUGAGCGAGGCCAAUUAUUAGCAUGUACACGCAGAACGUAGUAUAAUUAAUAAAGACUAGAUACUCAGAUGAGAGACAAUCAACUAAGAAAGGAUCCAUUGAUAUUUGAGACUUGGGGUAUUGGAGUAAUAUACAAAAUCAUGUAAUUGGGGAAUUGGGGUAAUAAUAUUAGAAAUAUGUAUUUUUCAUCUCUUAAGUAUUUUGGAAGUGUCCCUCAUGUUUUAGUUGGUGCAAAUCGAUCCCUUAAUUUAUAUUUCGAUGCACUAAUCAUCCCCAUCCUAACACUUUUUCCUACAAUAUUUGGUCAGAUAGAUCAAUAUUUUACCGUUACCGUUUUGUCAUUGUAUAGGCUAGACAUAGAUUUUUAUACAUAUACAUAUUGAAGUAUGCACUUAGGUCCAUCACCAACGCACGCUUGCUCGCUAUCCGUGUGGAUGUCACGGCAGAAUCAGGUCCCGCCGCGAAUCGAUUAGUCAAUUCAAACCAAUCCAAAUUUGAAAGCAACAAAUAAACGCCAAAAGUACUAGCAAAUUGCGCUGCAAAAUGGCAAAAAGGAGCGGUGGUCAAGCUGGCAGCAGUCGCCUCCUCUUGGGCAAGGUGGACAGGUGGUGGCAGUGUGUGAAGUGUCCGGAACCCUUGUGGAGCCCAUUGGUGCUGGAGCCUGAAGGGAGUUGGAGAGACGGAGAGGACAGCACAGCACCCAUCAGGCUCUCUCUCUUUCUCCCUCUCUCUCCCUCCCUCUCUGUUUUUUUCAUCUAACAUAAAAUCAAAGGUCUAUUUGAAAAACAAAACAUAAAAUCAAAGGUAUUUAAAUUGCACAUCUGCGAUUGGAAAAAAAAAGGCAACCGCACGUUUGUUGCUGUUCACUGCACAAACUCUAUCAAAAUCACAAACAGGGGAAACGUGAGCGUCAUUAUCAUCUGAAACCUUGUACGUACGUACUUCCUCUUGCCUCUUACUUAUCCCAACGCAAACAUUUGUAGCCUGCAUAUGCCUCUUGUGCACCCCAACAACAAGAAUGCAGUUUAAUUGGGAUACUUGGGGGUUCCCCUAUCUUCCAUUUGGAUUAUUGUCCUGUAAUCACUCGUGUCAAUUAAUGUCAACAUGAAAUUAAACCGGCUGGCUUGGCUUCUGUUGAUUUCUGAUCAGAUUCUAGUCUCUUCCAGUGUUCCUCUUUGCUAUACAUGUACACACCGAUAUGGGCUAGGCCUGGCCCAAUACAUACAUAACUCAACACUCCCCCUCAAGAUGGAUGAUAGAUAUCUAUCAUUCCCAUCUUGCUACAUGCUAAAUUACAUUCUUUGACCCCUAAUCCUUUAGUUAAACAAUCUGCUAUUUGACCACAUGAGUUUACAUGACUUAACUCCAUUUUACCAUUAUCUAACUUCUCCUUAAUAAAGAAGCGAUCAAUCUCCACGUGCUUCAUUCUGUCGUGUUGAAUUGGAUUGUUGGCAAUAUUGAUAGCUGAUUUGUUAUCACACCAAACUCUCAAGGGACCCUUUCUUAGCACAAUUUACUCAGAUAAGAUACUUCUUACCCAUAGCAUCUCGCUCACCACCAAAGACAUGGCUAUAUACUCUGCUUUAGCAAUUGAACCAGAUACAAUUGAUUGCUUCUUGCUCCUCCAUGACACUAGAUUGCCUCCAACAAAGACACAAUAUCCUGAUGUUGAUCUCCUAUCAUCAAGACAGUUUGCCCAGUCAGCAUCACAAUAACCCUCCACAUUUUGAUGACCAUGGCUUUUAAAUAUAAGUCCCUUUCCAGGACUGCUCUUCAGAUAUCUUAGGAUCCAUUACACAGCAUCCAAAUGUCCACUCCUUGGGCCAUUCAUAUAUCUACUCACAACAUUCACAGCAGAGGAAAUAUCAGGCCUUGUAUGACAUAAGUAAAUGAGCCUCCCCACAAGCCUCUGGUAUAUUUCUCUAUUUACUGGAUCACCUGAUUCAGCGCAUAGCUUAUGAUUUGGAUCAGUAGGUGUCGAUGCGGUCCGACAUUCAAGCAUACCAGUCUCACUAAGUAAGUCUAGAACAUACUUUCUUUGUGAGAGAACUAUCCCUUGUGGAGAUCUAGCAACCUCCGUACCAGGAAAGUACCUGAGCUGACCAAGGUCCUUGACCUCAAAUUCUUUACUUAGAUUCUCUUUCAGACAUUUUAUUUCUAUUUCAUUAUCACCUGUGAUAAUGAUAUCAUCCACGUACACAGCUAAGAUUGUGAUCCGUCAUCCAGAAUGCCGAUAGAAUAAAGUAUGAUCCCCAUUGCACUGUUUAUAAUCCAUAACACAUAAUGCAUGUCUGAAUCUAUCAAACCAUGCUUGUGGAGAUUGCUUGAGGCCAUACAACGACUUCUUCAGUUUCAAUGCCUUUCCUUUAGUUUGAUCUGUAGCAAAUCUAGGAGGAAUUUCCAUAUAGACUUCUUCUCGAAGAUCUCCAUGCAAGAAUGCAUUGUUAACAUCUAACUCGUAUAAUGGUCAGCCAUAAUUAGCCGCACAAGAUAUUAAUGUCCUCACGGUGCUCAUCUUUGCAACUGGUGUGAAUGUCUCAUCAUAAUCAAUUCUAUAAGUUUGACUAUACCCUUUUGCAACCAGUCUCGCUUUGUACCUCUCUACUUUCCCAUCAGGAUUCUAUUUUAUUGUAUACACCCAUUUGCAACCAACCACCUUCUUAUCCACAGGGAAAUGUACAAGAUCCCAAGUUUUAUUCUUCUUAUCCACAGGGAAAUGUACAAGAUCUCAAGUUUUAUUCUUCUCUAGAGCUGCUAAUUCUUCAAGCAUGGCCUCUUUCCACUUCGGGUUUUGUUUCGCUUCCUUCCAAUCUCUUGGAAUUUCUAUGGAUUGUAAUGAUGUAACAAAUGUUCUAUAUGCAGUAGACAAUAAUUCAUAUAAGACAUAAUUGCUUAUAUCAUGCUCAAAGCCAUACCUUAUUGCAGGUUUCCCAGCUUUAAUCCUCGCUUCCUUUCUUAGAGCAAUGGGUAAAUCAACCGAAGGAUCGACUUCUUCUUCCCCUCUCUCAAUAGACUGAUCAUCCUCGUUACUAUAGCAACAUUGACACCACCAGCUGAAGACUGUUGUUGCUCCACCUGUGGUAGGUUGCUCUUCUUGCUGCUCCACCAACUGUGGUCGCUCAACUUGCUUCUCUACUGGUUGUAAUUCAGCAGUUCUCUUUCUUCUGGUAUAAACCUUCAAAGUGCCUUGUUCUUGCCUUGGGUUCAUGUUUUCAAUGUCCCUAUUUUCUUGCCUCUCAUUCACAUGGGACCCUCUUGACCAUCCAGACUCAUACUUGGAUCACCAAGUUCAAAUAAGGAACUCAAAUCAGUUUUCUCUCCAUAAUAGGGUUCAAAUUCUCGAAAUGUCACAUCCAUACUUGUAAAGAGUCAUCGUUCAGGAGGACACUAACAGUUGUACCCCUUUUGACUUGAUGAAUAACCCACAAAUAUACACUUAACUGCUCGAGGAUCUAGCUUUCCCACAGCAGGCCUAUGAUCCCUGACAAAGCAAGUACACCUAAAUACCCUAGGGGGAACACUAACACUACUAGAAAAAUGACCUUUCAUCUCUAGCCUUAGUACCAGUUGAUUUUGAAUCCAGUACUAAUGCUAACAUUAGUACCGGUUUCAAAGUUGGGAGCCCCCGGAGGCCCUCUAGUACUGGAUGGGGACUCCAUCUCGUACUAGAGGUGACCCUCUAGUACCGGAUGGAGCUACCAACCGGUACUAGAGCUACCGGAUGGAGCUACCAACCGGUACUAGAGCCUCUAGUACCGGUUGGUAGCUCCAUCGGUACUAGAGGGUCACCUCUAUUACCGGAUGGGCUUACCUACCGGUACUAGAGGCUUCUCCCGCGUCUGCCUCGAGGACUUAGAAUUUUUAGCUAUCUUCCUCUCUCUCCUGCCACCGCACAGCACAACGCAGCGCCUUAUCUCCUCCAAUCCCUUCCUCCUUCUCUCCUCUCUUCCGCACAGCACAGCGCCCUCUUCUCUCUCCCUCCCACUCCUCUUCUCUCCAUUCUUCUCUCCCUCCUUCUCCCUCCCACUCCUCUUCUCCAUCGGCACCCGCGCCCCUCUCCCUCCCGCUCCUCUUCUCCAUCGGCGACCGGCUCCCUCCCUCCCUCUAGUGCGCCCUCUCCCUCAGCCUCCCACACCUCCCCCCUUCGGUCGCCCCUCACCUCGUGCCUCGAGUGAGGAGCGCCGGCGGGGCGAGGCGAGGCGCGGUGGCGGUGGCGGCUUGGUGGCGCGGCUGGAUGCACGCGGCGGCAGGAUGUGCACCCCCCCGCUCUCUCUCUCUCUCUCUCUCCCCCUCUCUCUAGAUCUGCAGGAUGUGGUGGCGGGAUGGCAGCGGCGGCGGGGGGGGGGGGGGGGGGGCGAGUGGAGGAUGAGGGGGCCGGGAGGAGGAGGAGACGGGGGUGGAGGGGGCCGGCGUGGGGAGGGGUGGUGGAGGAGGGAGCCGAGGAGGAGGCGGCGGGAUGGCAUGGGCGGCGAUGGGGGCGAAUGGAGGCGGAGGGGGCUGGGAGGAGGAGGAGGCCAGAGCCGGAGCUGGCGGCAGGGGUGGAGGGAGGAGGAGCCGGUGGGGGUGGGGGUGGCGGCGGGGGUGGGGGCGGGGCCAGGACCGGGGGGAUUUUGUUUUUUUUUUAUUUUUUAAUACCCUCUGUUACCGAUUAUUCGAACCAGUACUGGAGGUACCCCUCUAGUAUCGAUUGGUUAGUACCGGUUGGCCAACCGGUACUAGAGGGGGUUCACAACCGGUAGUAAAUCCACGUUUUCUAUAGUGUAAACUCAUUCAAUCCUCAUAACAUCUCAUAAGGAAUUUUCCAGCCAAGCAAUCUUGAAGGUGUACGAUUAAUCAAAUACACUGCUGUCAUCACCGCCUCACUCCAUAGGAACUCAGGCACAUUCAUAGUAUACAUAAGUGAACAUGCAAUCUCCAGGAUAUGACGAUUUUUCCUUUCUGCUACUCCGUUUUGUGGAGGCGUAUCUGGAUAAGUGGUUUGGUGGAAUAUCCCUUGAGCUGAUAGAAAGUUUCCAAACUCAUUGUUCACAUAUUCUGUACCAUUAUCUGUCCUCAAUACCUUAACCCGAGCAUCAUAUUGAUUCCCAAUAAAUGAGCAAAAAUCCCGAAAGCAUUUAAGUACUUCACUUUUGUGUCUCAUGAGAUAUAUCCAAGUCACACGUGAAUAGCAGUCAAUAAAGGUCACAAAGUACUUCAUUUCACUAAUGGAGGUGACUGGGCAAGUCCACACAUCAGAGUGAAUAAGCAUAAAGGGAGACAUACUCCGAAGUCCCCUGCUUAUAUUUGUUGCUCUUGUAUGUUUUCCAUACUCACAUGCAUCACACACAAGUUUCUUCUUAUUUGCCUUGCUCAUUAUUUCUGGGAAUACUUUGGCCACAGUAUCAAAUGAUAAAUGGCCUAAUCGACAGUGUUGGACUAUCACCUUAGCUUCAUCUUCAUUCAUAUUUGCUGUCAGAGCAGCACCAAAAAUCUCACCAUCUCCUCUUCGAUCCAGGUACCAGAGACCACCGCGCCUAAUCCCAAAUCCAAGUUCCUUUCCAAUUUUUCUAUCUUGAAUGAGACAAUGCUCCCGAUCAAAUGAAACACGACAAUCCAUUUGAUCACUUAGUGACAUUAGAUUAACUGGAAAGGAGGGAACAUGCAAAACAGAUGAUAGCAUAAUUGAUGGAGAGCACUUGAAUGUAUACCAGUCCCCUUAAUAGGUUGGCGUGCCCCAUCAGCUGUCUGAAUGGUUUCCUUAUAUGUGGAUGAAUAUGGAGUAGACGAUACAAACUCAUCCAAUGCCCCGUAACAUGUCUAGAUGCACCAGAAUCUAGUAUCGAAUUUGCAUAAGAUGUACCUGUACUAGGCCGAGCAAGGUUGGCGUGGUUGCCAAGAACCAUUGAUGUCUCCUCUCUUCGUGAGAACAAUUGUUCUUCUUGAGAAGCUAUCAUUAGUUCUUAUCUCUUCGCCAAAAAUAUUUGGGCCAUCCUCUCGAGCUCCUUUGCCGUAAGAAUUUCAGCCAACAUCUCAAACACCUGCUCAAUUCUUCUGCUCUCUGCCAUUGCUUAACUGCUACCCUCGAACUACACAAAUUGCACAGCAGCCUCAACCAGUCAGAAAACACCGCCUCCAAUUUCACGUGCACAGCAGCACCCAGUCAACAAUUUCUUCACUUCUCACUCUCCGAGCACUUCCACCAGCUACCAGAUAUGGCGCUGUCCUCUUCUCCUUUAGCCCCUCUUCAAUUGACGUAGCAAUCAACAGCUCAAAACUCCCUUAUCCUCACAGCCACUUCACCAAGCAGUGCCACAGCUCACGGCUGCCCUCAGCUUGCACACACGCUGCUGCCUCCUCACGCAGAAUCACCAAAUUUGCCCUCGCCGUCGCCUGCAAUGCAAGAACUGACAACAAAUCCAGCACAACCUCCUCCUGCAAAAUCCUCACAGAUUCCACCGCCGUCGACAGUAGGCUCUGCUCAGGCUUGUCGUCACCCACUCCUCUAGCUGCGCCCUUCUGUGUCAGAGAUUACCGGAGAUCGCCGGAGAAACGUUGUCAACUACAACGCCGGCGAGCUCGAGUGCACACAGAAAAAACUCACGCGAACACCUGGGAACACGAUCUUCUUUUUGUGCUGUUAACCAACAGCGUUUUUCCUGGACUCCAUUUGCUUAUAUAGGAAACGAUUACAACUACGCAGUGGCAGUGACCUCCUGCAUGUGUGGCAUGCUCUUCAUCAGUGAAUGCCAUCCCAACCACCUGGAACGUGCGGCACGACGCGCUCCCUCGCGAACGACGCGCGAGUCAGAGCACACGACGCGCACAGCUCUAACAACCUGCCGUGCGCCUGACUGAACCAACGACUAAGCAAACUAGCUAAGCACAAGAGUUAUUCAACAAUUCUCCUCCUAAGUCUUGUGCACAGAAACUACUUACAGAUGCAUAGGCCAAUCUUGGCGCAGAGCUCCUGGAACUUCGUCUUGCAGAGUGGUUUUGUGAGUAUAUCACCAAGCUGCUCAUCAGUCCUAAUAAACUACACUUCGAUCUGCCCGUUCUGUACAUAAUCCCGGAUUGCAUGAAACCUUGUAUCAAUAUGUUUGCUCCGGUCAUGAUGCACAGGAUUCUUGACAAGAGAGAUUGUGGACUUGUUGUCCACCCUAGGCACUGGCUUGCUUAUUUCUGUUCCUAGAAUUUCAGCCAGUACUCUUGCUAACCAGACAGCCUGACAGGAAGCAGUGGCUAACACCAAGGAAGAAAAUGACUCCAGAAGUGCUCUUUCUACUGUCCAAAUCCCCAGCCAGGUCACUAUCACUGAAGCCCAACAGUUCAGCCCUUUCUCCUUUCUUCCUUGGGUAGAAAACACCCCUGUCACUUGUUCCAGCUAUGAACCUCAGUAUAUGUUUCACAGCUGUGAGAUGCUCCUCAUGAGGCUCCUCCAUGAACCUGCUCACAUACCCAACUGGGAAGGCCAGAUCAGGUAUGGUAUUGACCAGGUACCUCAAACUCCCAACUAAACUCCUAUAAUCAGUAGCAUCAACACAUGGACCACUGUUGUUCCUACUCAGUUUCAGCUUUGGCUGCAUAGGCACCUGACAGGGAUUGCAAUCCAGCAACCCACCUUUCUCCAGGAUCUUCCUUGCAUAGCUUCCCUGAGACAAUGUAAUCCUAUCUACACUUUGCUUCACCUCAAUGCCUAGAUAGUAAGAGAGUAACCAAGGUCACUCAUCUUGAACACUUCUGCCAUCUGUACCUUGAAUUUCUUGAUGCCGCUGCUGCUCGUGCCAGUAAUCACCAAAUCAUCAACAUAAACCCCCACAACCAACCUAUCUGCAUCAUUUCCCCGACAGUAUAUGGCGUGCUCUGAUGGGCAUUUCUUGAAUCCCAAAACAACCAAUUUCUCAUCUAAUUUCUGAUUCCAGGCGCAAGGAGCUUGAUGCAAACCAUACAGAGCUUUGUGUAGUCUGAGUACCUUAUGUUCUUGCCCGGACAGAACGUAUCCCGGCGGCUGCUCCACGAACACCUCCUCCUAAACAUCACCGUUCAAGAACGCCAUCUUGACGUCCAUGUGGUGGACUUCCCAGUCCUCAUGCGCCGCCAACGCCAACAACAACCUUACUGUUUCCAUCCUUGCCACCGGUGCAAACACUUCAUCAUAGUCGACGCCUUGGCGCUGUGCGUACCCUUUUACGACAAGCCGCACCUUGUGCCUGACCACAGCGCCGUGCUCGUCCUUCUUCACCUUGAACACCCACUUGAGUCCUAUAGCCUGCCGGCCUUGAGGCAGCUCAGUGAGGGUCCAAGUGCGGUUCUCCUCAAUUGACUGCAGCUCCUCCUCCAUCGCCCGAUGCCAGCACGCCUCCGUCUUCGCUUGCGCCAGGGAUGCAGGCUCCUCUGCACUCACCGCCAGCAGCCUGCCGUCGCCCAGAUCACGAACUGCAUAGCCCGGUGGAGAACCUGGGCCGAUGACAUCCUCCAUUGCACGAAACCGUAGUGGUGCGUCUUCAUCAUGAUCAGCAUCCAGAACCUCAUCCAGAUCCUGCAGUGGGGAGACGAACUGCACGCCACUUGGCGUUGUCGCUGGCGUGCUGGUGCCGCUCGGCCAUGUUGAUGUUGAGGCAGAGGGGUUCGAUGGCGUUCCCAGCUCCGCUUCCGGUGCGUCCUCCUGACCGCCGUGGCUGGACAUCGUCGUGAGCUCGACGGUGAAUAUGUCGUCACCUUGUACCGCUUGAAUAUCCUCCUCCGCAUGAUCACCAGUCCCACUGGCCGUCUUCAUCGAACACCACGUCCCUCGUAAUGUGAACACGGCGCUCCAUAGGAUCGUAUGCCCGGAACGCCUUGGAGCCACGCUCGUAGCCGACGAAGAUCAUCUUGCGCCCGCGAUCCUCGAGCUUCUAGAGAUGAGGCUUCGUGUUCCGCACGUAGACGAUGUAGCCAAAAACCUUCAGGUGGUGAACCACCGGCUUCUUCCCAUACCACGCCUCGAACGGAGUCAUCCCCUCGACGCUCUUCGUUGGUGUUCGGUUCAGCAGGUACACAGCGGUUUGCACCGCCUCUCCCCAGAACCAGCCCAGCAGCCCCUUCGCCUUGAGCAGACUGCGCGUGGUUCCGACCACCAUGCCGUUCCAGCAUCCGAUGACGCCAUUCUGCUAUGGACAGGAUGGUGCUGUCAGUUGGCAUUGAACUCCGUCGGCCGCACAGUGCUCCAUGAAUGCCGCUGAAGUGAACUCCCGCUGCGGUCCGUGCGGAACGCCCUCAGCUUGCAACCGGACUCCGCCUUUGCGCGCGCUUGGAACUCCUUGAUGGCCGCCGCAGCUCGGUCCUUGGACGGCAGCAGCGUCGCCCACAUGUACUGGCUUCGGUCGUCCACCAAUAGUAGGAAGUAGCUGUUGCCGCUCGGCGUCGCCAGGGUGAUGGGCCUGCACAGGUCGUCGUGCACAAGCUCCAGAACAUGCCGUGCACGGUACUCCGCCCGCUCCGGGAAUGAGGUGCGCCUCUGCUUUCCAGCCAGACACGCCUCGCACAGCUGAUCCACCUGUUCCACUGCCGGCAGGCCGCGCACCAGCUCCUCCCGAGCCAUUCUGCGUAGUGCCACCAUGUUGACGUGGCCCAGCCAUGCGUGCCAGCACUAGGCAUCUUCCUUGCCGCACGCUGCCAAGCAAACAGGCUGUGCAAUGUUGAUGUUGAGCACGUACAGCCUGUUCGCCGUGUGCGAGACCUUCGCCAACAGCCUCCCGGAUCUUCAUCACGCCAUUGUCGAUGUCGAUCUUGUAGCCCACCUCAUCGAGCUGCCCAACACUCACGAUGUUUGUCGUGAGAUUGGGAAUGUAGUAGAUGCCAGCAAAGGCUCUGUGCUCGCCAUUCUUGCACGCAAAGAGAACGGUACCGCAGCCUUCGAUUCUCGCCACGAAAUCAUCGCCGAACCGCACCGUGCCGCACACGGCCGUGUGCAGCUCCGCGAAUGCUGCUCGGGACCCCGACAUGCGGUUCGUGGCCCCGAUGUCCAGCACCCACGUCUUGGUGUCCUGCUCCUCCUUCUCCCCGAGCUGCACGAACACCUUCUCCUCGCACAGCUGCACUGGAGCACGAGCACUCAAACUGGAGCCGCCAUCCUUGCGUACUGGAUCUGCUCCUGCGCCCGCUUCUCGGCGUGGGGUCCCUGGGAAGGGAUCCCCCCCCCCCCCCCCCCCCCCCCCCCACACACACACACACACACACCAGAACUGGGAGCCGAGCCUGUGAGGGGCCCGAGACGUCACCGGCGAGGCUGGCGGUGGCGGCGUGGUGGAGCGCCGCCGGUCUGGAAUCGGCGCGGGCGGCGGUGGCCGCGUGGUGGUGAGCCGCCGGUCUGGAGUCGGAACAGCACGGGGAAUCAGCAGCAUUGACCGGAGAAUGAGCAACAAUGCCUCCUCUUCUUCAUGGAUCACGUGGGCCUGCUCCUUCUUGGGCCUGGAUGGGCACUCACGGGCCCAAUGGCUAGACUUCCCGCACUGUCGGCACUCGUCCUUGCCGAUGGUCCUGCCGGAGUUGUUCGCCGACCUGCUGGAUGACGACGUCGCACUGCUGCCGCCACGCCUCUUUCCACGCCCACGCUGCGUACCGCGACGCGCAGAGCUCCCGCUCGCGCCACCGCUUCCCUGGUUCUCCGAGUCACGCCGCCUCCUUCUGGUCUCCCAUUCUUCCUCCGUCAAGUACAGCUUCCCGUCGACUUGCAUCGUCGGCGGUGGUGCUUCGAAGGCCUCCUCCGCAGCCUUCAGGCUCCCUAUCAGCUUGGUGACAGUGAGCGUCGCCGAGUCGAGGAGGGUCUGGAUCGCCAGGAUGAUUUGCUUGAACCCCGCCAGCAUACUGCGAAGCAUCUUCUCCACGACCUUCACCUCCUCCACUGGUUCUCCGAGAGUUGAGAGAUUGGCCGCCAUGCCAUUUAGACGGAGCGGGUAAUCCUCCACCGACUCUGUCUCCUUGCAUGUCGCCAAGUUGAAUUGACGACGAAGCUGCUGAGCCGUAGACUUCUUCACCCGGUCAUCGCCGACGCGCAUGGUGGCAAUGGCAUCCCACGCCUCCUUCGCCAUCUUCUUCUCGACGAUCGUGGACACUAUUUCCGUCAGUAUGGCACUGCAGAUUGCAUCGAGCGCCGUCAUGUCCUCCAUUGGAUCGACGCCGCCAGCAUCGACCGCGGCCCAGAGUCUGUGGGCCUUUAGCUUCACCUUCAUGAGGAGCACCCAGUCGGAGUAGUUGUUCUUGGUGAGGGUGGGGUAGCUAGUCCCGCCGGCCACCUCACAGACCACCCGCUGCACCACGACGCCCUCCUUGCUGCCGCUCGAACCAUCGCCCUUGACGCCACUCGAUCCGCCGCCCUUCUCUGUCAUCGACGGCGGUAGUGUAGGGCCUGUCAUGAGCGCCUACCUGAUUGCGCGGUCUCGAUUCCAAUGACGAUAUUGCGCCGCGAUCGACUCCCGGUCCGCAACCGGCUCUGAUGCCACUUGUCAGAGAUUACCGGAGAUCGCCGGAGAAACGUUGUCAACUACAACGCCGGCGAGCUCGAGUGCACACAGAAAAAACUCACGCGAACACCUGGGAACAAGAUCUUCUUUUUGUGCUGUUAACCAACAGCGUUUUUCCUGGACUCCAUUUGCUUAUAUAGGAAACGAUUACAACUACGCAGUGGCAGUGACCUCCUGCAUGUGUGGCAUGCUCUUCAUCAGUGAAUGCCAUCCCAACCACCUGGAACGUGCGGCACGACGCGCUCCGUCGCGAACGACGCGCGAGUCAGAGCACACGACGCGCACAGCUCUAACAACCUGCCGUGCGCCUGACUGAACCAACGACUAAGCAAACUAGCUAAGCACAAGAGUUAUUCAACAUUCUGCUACUUGUGCACAGCACGCCUCCACGCACAGCACGAGCUCCACCUCCUUGCCUCCGCUGCCGCGCGCUCCUCUGGCUGCGCAAGCUCGACCCAGCCGCCGCUGCCGCCAAAGGGAACGAGAACGGCAACCCGCUGCCUCUCACGGUCUCACCCCCUGCAGCAAUCGAGCUUCCUUGCUCUCACCACGGCGGAAUCGCCACCACGGUCGCCGCCGACGAACCUAGCCCUGAUGCCAUGUUGAUUUCUGGAAAAUGUCAGAUCCUAGUCUCUUCCAGUGUUCCUCUUUGCUAUGCAUGUACACACCGAUAUGGGCUGGGCCUGGCCCAAUACAUACAUAACUCAACAGCUUCCUUCAUGCAGCAUGGCAACAAUUAAUCUACUGUGCAUAUUCCAAUGGAUACCAAUCAAAUAAACAAUGGCCUGGCGAGGGCGUAGGCACAAAAUCAGCUACUAUUUACCCAAAUAGCAUAUGAUCACAUAAACAAUUGGGUUGCUCAAUUUUUUUUAAAAAAAAUGCUAUUUACCAUUAUAUUGUACAAUUCUCCAAAAGAGCGGCAACAUCCUUUCGGCAGAUCCUUGGAUUGCCCUGUACUACGCGUGUAUCAUCACAGAUAGCUAGAUGAGCUUGCUUUUUACCCCCGCGAUAGCCCCGUCGUCUCUCCCUCUCCUGUGGUGGGCGACGGCGACCGGCCUACCAGUAGUACUAGUACCAGUUGUGUUGCGUGCAUGACCAACACUACGGGAAACAGAACCUUUGGCACUCGGCAAAGGCCUAAAAACACUCGGCAAAGCCUUUACCGAGUGUAACACUCGGCAAAGAGCACACGGCAAAUGUUGUGUCGGCAAAGACUAGUUCGCCGAGUGUCAAAACUCGAACACUCGGCAAAUAUGUUGCCGACGGCCAAAAAACACUCGGCGAAAAGAUGUACUCGGCGAAUUGCGGACUGACGGCGUCAGGUAACGGCGGGUUUGCCGAGUGCCAAACGGGAGGCACUCGGCAAACACCGGGUCUUUGCCGAGUGCCAACACUCGGCAAAGACUGGGAGUUUGCCGAGUGUCAGGCGCCUGGCACUCGGCAAACACGGUCUCUUUGCCGAGUGCCAGCUCCCGGGCACUCGGCAAAGCCCGCGCCUUUUGCCGUGUGCCGGGUGACGGGCACUCGGCAAACCGGCCCCCUUUGCCGAGUGCCCUGACCGUAGCACUCGGCAAAGGACCUUUCCUACACCUGGGAAAUGCCCCUUUGCCGAGUGCUAUGGUCAAGGCACUCGGCAAAGGCCCCUCUUUGCCGAGUGUAACACUCGGCAAAGUGACCAGAACCGCCCCUUUUUCGACCUUUUGCCACGUAUAACGGACCCCUCUCAAUUCACAAUACACAUAUCACAGACAUUUAUAAUAAACAACCACAUGGAUAAUUCACAACCACAGGCAUAAUUCAUAAACAUCACAGGCAUAAUUCAACAUAAGCACGAAAUAAUCCAUAAAUCCAAGUUCUUGUCACAAUUUAGUUUCCACAUUGUUCACAACCAAGUCUACUUCCGUGGAGGCCAAGGAGACCACUGCGACAAAUCUUGAUCUUCAUUAUUCGAAGCCGCCGAUUGAUUCUACACAUAGGAUAGGACAUUCUGAGGUAACAUCUAAAGUUGUCAAAUUUAAACUAUUGAAUCUUAAGCACAAUGUGUCAAGUGACUCACAGGAGUAGUCGUGGGUGGCUGAGGCGGAGGGAACAUCAUCGGCGGUGGCGGAGGCAAAGACUGUCCCAUGCUCGUAGCAAAGUUCUGCAUGUACUGGAACAUCUGCUCCAUCCUAAUCCGGUUUUCCUCCUCCAUCCUCCGCCGCAUUUCCUCCAUCUGCACCUCCAUCUGCGCCUUAAUCUCCUCUUGUGCCUUCCUUGAUUCUUCCACCUGGGCCUACAAUAUUUCAUUGCAAUGUUAUAAUGCAAAGCUAAAGUAUAACAACAAACGGACGAUGAAUGGAAGAGAAAGAACCUGUAGAGCCUCCAUCUGGAACUGUGCAGCGGUGGGUCGUGGGCGUACCGCCGGGCUCGAGUUCGUGCUCCUAGCUCGGAUCUAGGAGAGAGAGGGAGUAGAGGCCGUGUCGAUGACGCCGUCGCCAAUCCAAUAUCGGCCAUGCUUCUUGCCUCCUCCCACCCUCAUCACGAUUUCUCCAUCAAUGUCCUCGGAGAUCGGAUCGAAGUCUGGCCCGUGAACCUCCCUAGCCAUCUUUGUAUACUCGCUGACGCGACUGUAUAUGCUAGGGUGGCUGUACGCCUCGGACGGGUCGUCUGGGUUGAAAUCUAUAUCGGCCGUCGCCUUGCCCUUUUUGGAGAGGACCCAUGCCUUGAGCUGGGAGCAAGGUCGGCCAUCAUGUGACGCCGACUGCGGCAAAAUACAAAAUCAUUAAAAAUUACGUAGAACUGAACAUUACAAUAAAGAAUUGAAGUUGCCUACCCAUUUUUCUCUAUAUUCAUCAAGGCUUAGGCUGCCUUGAUGGUGUGAUGCAGUCGGCAUCUGCAAACGCCGCUGCCGGCAAGAAAGGUGGUUCUCCAACCACCCGGGCUCCAACCACACGUCGACCAUCCUCUCCCAGCACGGCAUAUGCGCACGACACCACCACGGAGGCACCUACAUCAUCAAGCGUGUGACGUAUGAAAAAGAAAAUGAGCCUAAUUAAUCAUAAAUAGUAAGCAUCAACGUUCUUUACUUACCCUCAUGAAUUGGUCCUUAGUCAUGUUCAUUGUUCUUGCCUCCUCUUUUCUAACCUUCGUACGAUUGUAUUGAGCGUUGAAUUCUAUGAUGGCCUGGAUGCGCGCCUCGUAAUGCAUGUCCCUCACGAGCUUCUUGGCGGCUACAUCACAGACGGCCUUCGCCUUGGCCUCGAACCCCUCCUGGCAUCUAUAGAAGUCCUGCAUAUACACGCGUAUACAGUUAUUAUUUCAAGAAUGUCGAAAGUAGCUGAUGUAUUGAGCAAUUUAGUACGAGGAGUACUUACCCACAGCUCGGCCUUGACCCGCUCUGCUAUGUUGGGGAAUCUUCUCUGUUGACGAUCAGGGACGUCGGGGGCGGCGACGUAGUGGUCCCACGUGUAGGCCGGCUGCAGCUGUCCGGCGUACACCACCAAGCCAGGGAAGUGAACCCUGCAUAAAAGGCCAAGGAUCCCGUUGGCCUUACGGUUGUGGUCACCCCCGCUGAGCUUAAUCCAACUCCUGCACAAGUCAUUAAUAUGAAUUAUUAGUUUUUGUAACUUUCAACAUAAGAACAAUAUUAAGAAUAUUUAAAGUUACUUACUUGGUCCCAACCGGUUUAAUGAGCGGGCGUAAAUGCUCAGGUAUCAGCCGCUUCGGGAGGGAUGAGGGACCUCGCAACCAUAUCUUGGACUGGGCAUCCCCUGCCUCCCCGUCCCCCUCCUGCUCCUGCUGCUCCUCCUCCUCCGCCUCCUCGUCCCCAGAGGCGUGUGCGGAAGGUACCUCCUCCUCCUCCUCCUCCUCCUCCUCCUCCUCCUCCACCUCAGGUUCAGGCGACGGGGGCCUGGCCGCUUUACCCUUCCCUUGAGGCCUCUGGACCACCACCACCUCCUCCUCCUCCUCCUCAACCCUACGUCGACGCCUGCCUCGACGCCUCCCUCGACCGCUCCCUGAACGUGACCCUGACCCCGAACCAGUCCCUGCCGCGGCCAGUCUCUCGCAAAUCGACGUGAGCUUCCUGAUACCGCCUACCAUUGCUUAAUGACCUGCAAUUAAAAAGAGUACACGAGUCAGCAUAGGCAAACAAAACAUAAUUACAAAUUUAGGCAAAUUAUAAUUAAAUUAUAGCUAAAUUAUUACGAAUCAUACAUGUAUUAGAAAUAAUCAUCAUGAUCGGGAUUAGCUGGAUCAUAAGUCUCAUCAUCACUAUCACGCGUGUCGAUAUAGUCAAGCUCGUGCUCCGAAGAAGGAAUGUCGUCAUCACUGUCAUUAGCUAACUGUAAUCGUUGAAGUAAUUCUAAGUCCUUCACAUUCUGAACCUCGUCUCCACCGUCCUCUGCAGCAACCCUCUCAUUGUCUACUUCCAUUCCGAUCGCUUCGGUUAAAUCUAUCACAAAACUCCCUUCGAGCCCAUCUUCUUGGAAUAACUCUCCUUCGUAUGUGUCGGGAUCUAUAUUGUAAUCUUCAUUGUUUGGUACAGGUAGUUUGCCGUGUGGCGAUACCUUGUACACAACAUCCCAACCCUUAAGACGGCUGUCGGUUUGGCACUGGUAUGACAAAUAAUAAACUUGCGUGGCCUGUUAAGCCACAAUAUAGACAUCGUCUCCUGAUAACCUGGAUGACUGUCGAAUUUCGACUAGCCCAAGGUUAGGGGCCCGUCUCACGACAGAUGGAUCAAACCAAUGGCAUUUGAAUAUAACUGGAUUAAGAGGUUUGCACCCAUGAAAAGUGAGUUCGUAUAUUUCUUCAAUUCUUCCGUAGUACUCGACCCCAUCGGAGCCUGGCGUGAAAACUCCGGUAUUUGUGGUUCUUCGAUUGGGCCGACUCUGCUCGUGCCUUGUUGUAUGAAACCUAUAUCCGUUGACGUCAUAACCGGCAAACGACCUGACUCUAUAGUCACAGCCAUCGGCAACCUGUCUCAACUCGACAUUCAUAGACGCAUCGGUUCGGCCCUGCAAGUACGAACAGGGCGGUUCGUUAUAUUAAUCGUAUGCACGAGAACGAGAAUGUUCGCGGAAAUGAAAUUGUACCUUCUGUUUGAACCAAGAAAUGAAAUCGGGCAUUCCAUUUCCCGCACCCUCUUUAAGAAGAGUCUCAGCUUCGUGCGGGGCCGGUUGCCUUGAUUUACGCCAGAAUUGACGAUGAAAUUGCCUAUGCCAACGAGAAAGAUACGUUUAGGCAAGAGAUACCAUUAAUACGUCGAAACAAGUUUGUCGAUGACUUACAUCAUGUACGGCUCCACUUCAGAUAGGUUGGUCAACACAUACAGCAUGAUAGAGCGCCACUCUUCAUGGUUAAGGGUCUUGCGGGUCGCACCACUUGCACUUCCGAGUUGCCCUCGGAAAAUGCUAAGGCUUAAUUCAUCUUCGCUAGCAUUGUAACGAGGAGGUGGAUUAUGCACGCUAGGAAGGUUGUCAGCGUAGUAUUUCGAUGUGAAGUUUGACACCUCCUCCAGAAUGUAUGCCUCUGCAAUGGAUGCUUCAAUUUUGCACUUAUUCUUACAUUUAGUUCGAAGAACCUUUUGACAUCUCUCAAUUGAGUAGCACCAACGACCCUGCACAUGCCCUCCCAUUCGUGCUUCAUACGGGAGGUGUAGAAUCAUAUGCUGCAUUGGAUUGAAGAAGCCUGGAGGAAAGAUCUUCUCCAACUUACAGAGCAACACAGGCGCCAUUGUUUCCAUUUCUGCAACCACGGUACGAGAUAACUCCUUCGCACAAAGCCGGCGGAAGAAAUUGCUCAACUCCGCUAGCACCUGCCACACAUGCUCAAGGAUAUAGCCUCGAACCAUCACCGGAAGGAGACGCUCAAGCCAUAUAUGGUAAUCAAAACAGAGGAACUGCUUCCAAAGCAUGGACACGGACAUGACUCCCAGCGUGAGCCGACCAAAUGCGUUCUUUCAGUCGUUCUGCAUCUGUGUUACAGUACCUCAACUUUUUACCUCAAAAUGUGUUUGUAGCUGUCAUGUUUCACCAGUGGUCUAGAUCGUCUAGACCCUACCUACCGUGCCCUUGCACUUUUUGAUAACUAUAUGGCAGUUCUUAUGGGUAGAAAGAGUUUGGUUCUCUCAUUCCCCGUUUAUUCUCUUAUACGGGAAUCAUCUUUCAUAAUUUUCGAAUUUCAUAUAUGAGUGCUGCAGCAUAUCUGUUUUUCAUUUCAUGUCACGUGGGGCUCGGGCAAGGUGCGACGAGGUGAACCCGGCAUAUGGCGGCGAUGCUUGUCGAGCACAGGCACAUGGGGCGUCACGUAGGGCUUGUUUGGAUUGAGCCUGCAAAAUCUGCCUGUGCCAAGUAGCUGAUCCAGGCGCUCGAUUUCGUGAGCCUAGGGCUAGGAUUGCUGCCUGAGCGCAGCUGCCUGGCUCAGUUCUGCAUCCAAACAAGCCCUACAUGCCUGGCGCAAAUGCGAUGGUUAAUUUAAUUUGUAUUAUUUUUUAUUUGUAUCAAUUUGAUUUGUAUUAUUGAUGUUGCAAAAAUUAAUUUAAAAUGUUGCAUACUUUAUUUCUCUGAUGUUGUAAAUUUUGUUUUUCAUUCUUGCUAUGCUAUGAUUAAUGUUCAAUCAGCUGGACAUUCGGCCACGGCAAAAAAAAAAGAAGAAGAAGAAAGAAAAAGUAACCAGUAUCCCUCGCGGUCCCCGCUGCUCCUAGUGGGCUGUGGCCUGUGGCGAUGUACAGGCGCAUGCAGUUGCAGUUGCAGCAACUUCACCUUGCGCCUUGUGGGGAUGGGAAGAGAAAAUGAGCCUUGGAGCAUGUAGGCACCAAACACCAUGAAAUCCAUGAUCCGAUCCCAAGGUGUUUUGAGCUUUUCGAAGUUUUUCAUGGUCCCCAAGCAAGAAACAAGUGGUUGGGAUCGACCUCCAAGCUGACACGUGGGUGGCUCCGAUAAAAAAUACCUCCAUAAAUGUCAUGGAAUAUGCAUCAUCAGACAUGCUGCCAGCAGCUCGUAUGGGACACCCUAUCCUGCGCCAGGCCAGCAGCACUAGUAUCAUAAAUCACCGUGGCACCAUGUAAUUGGAUUCAUAUUUCUAGUGAAAUUAUGUCGAAUUUGUACAUGUAGAUUUUAGCAAUUUAGCUUGUAUACUACCGCUCAUAAUAUUUGUUAUUAAAUUAGGAACUAGAAGGAGUAGGACACAACCUUCGUUAGGAAGGCAUUUGCGGGAAGUGGGUUGUUGUAGCCCCGGUAUUAGCUCAACUCUAAAUGAUCUGACCAAGUGGGAUAAAGCCCGUUCCGUUGUUCAAUUAGAUAUUCUACUAGUCUUCCUUUUGCUUGUCGAAGACAUGCCAAUUAACAAUUGUCGGAAUUUUUCUAGAAUUCACUUUAUAAUCAUACUUCACUAUGACCAAUUCUUUGUUGGGACUAACAAACUUUGUAAUUGUAUAGUCUCACUAAAUACAUUCACAAUGUACGCAAUAGAACUAAAAGACGACAUAUCACACUAUUAUAAAAAUGCUCAUAUUAAACAUCUUGUUUGUCAUAGAUUUUUUUAAAUGUAAAAGAAGGAUUUCACGGUUGGUACACAACAAUCUUUGUUUCAAUAGAAUUAUGUUUUGCAAGUUGAGAAUAUAUAAUGUGCAAAAAAUAGAGUUCACGUCACGGUUAUUUUCAAUAAGCGUGCGAGAAACCCAAGUGUUUGGCCAAGAAUACUUCAAAUUUUAUCCACCAUAUACUUCACUCUACCAUAGUACGUGAACAUGUGAUACGUAAACAUGAACGAGAUGUGCUCGAAUCUUAAGACUUGUGCAAAGGCAACCGCACAAGGUUGGUGCAGAGCAAGAGAUUUUCUCAGAGUUCCAAUCAAGUGCAGAAAUCUAGCGGAAAAAAAGCACCACAUGCACCACAAGCCGAACUAGAUCCGUACGAAUCUUAGGAUGUGUUUGGUUCUGAUGUUGUUUGCCUCGCUCUGCCUCACCUCGUUGGCGCAUCGAGGAGCUUGCCGGGAUGGGCUAGCCGAUUUGGCUCUCCCACGGGAGCAAGCCAAAUCUUGCCCGCACAAGCUCCAAGGCACUCAGGCAAGGAAACCAAGCGGGAGCGCUUGCUCGCUUGGCAAGGUGAUAUAUGUAAUCUCCGAAUAAAACAGAGGCAUCCGAGAGCCCAAGUUACUGUUAACAAAUGAAAUCGUGACGCGUAUGCUACGUUACUACCACGUGCGCAGGCACAGAGUCAAGCAGUCAACAUAACCUCUACGCGUCGUCUGUGUCCGGUCACAAAAUCGACGACUCCACACGCAUCCCAUCCAACUCCUCUUCUUCCUUGUUCGCCUCGCAGGCUCGCAGCGUCGCCGGAAAGUGUCCUCCAACUUCUCCGGCUCAUCCCCGCACCCAUCUUCCUUCACCGCCUGGGCGGACGUUGCCUCCUCACCUUGCGUUUUGCACUGUUGCCGGGCUCCUCCAAGCCGCCGCUCCGGCUCCAACUCAUCUAGUAGUGAAGUGGAAUGCUGCCAAACACCCCUCUAGUAAAACCGAGCAAAGGAAGCAAACGCGCUCUUAGGUUCCACAUGAGACAGCAAGUAGCAGAGAGGUACCGUUGCCAGCGACGGAGCGAGCAUGCCUUUUUGCCUGAUCGGAACGGGUGCAGUACAUUGUUGCAAGCAAGCGUUUGAGAAGUGCAGGGGUAGAUAAGUGUGUAUUGCAGCGGGUGAAUCCGAUUAUCCAAAAUUAAUCCAGUUGAGGUAAUCCAAGUGCUAAAACAAGAAGAAAUGUACAUCUACUUGCUCACUUGGAAAAAGAAGGAAACCAGAAUCACAUUAUUUGUGGGACGAAUGCAUCCCUAACUGUGGUUCAAAUUGACGCACAACGGAAAUGGACCUCUCUUGAUUUUCAAAAACAAAACAUUCCUCUUGGUGGAAGUGUGUGGAACCCCGUGGACCCGGCCGAUGCUGCCAUGCUGGAGGGACAGGCCGACAGGGAGAGGUGGCCAGGCUUCUGAUUUUCCUUGCUGCAGCUGCUCCUCGGCACUCCGCCUCGCCCGGCCGCGCUCCUCGGCCCGCGCGGGCUGCCGCCGCUGCUCGGGCUGCACCUUCGCCUUCCACCAGCGACCGCGCUGGCGGCGCUAGGACUACACAACCUCUGCACCGGCGCCAGCAUCCAGCCGGGCCGCGACGGCGACUACAACGAGGUCGACGGCCACAAGACCAACAACGACGACAACAUCGGCGACAAGGGCAGCGCCAUCCCCGUGCGCAAGAAGGACGAGAGCAGUGCCGGGAAGAUCAAGAACGCCAAGGACGGUGUCGAGAAAGAGGGCAGCUUCUAGCCGGGCCGCGACGGCGACGACAACAAGGCCAACCACGUCGACGGCCACAGCGUCGAGAAGCCCGACGGCGCCGGCACCGAGCGCGCCGGGAAGAUCAAGAACGCCAAGGACGGAGCCGAGAAAGAGGCCAGCAUCCAGCUGGGCCGCGACGGCAAUGACAACAAGGCGCCGAGAAAGAGGACAAGAAUGCCGGCAGCGAAUUUGAGAUACUAAAGGAGAUGAUCGACGAGCUCGGGUAACACCUCUUCCGAUUUCUGGGGCUAUAGUAAAAAUUUAUGUCUAACCUACUUACUAAAAUUAUCUAUCUGAUCAAAUAUUAUAGGAAAAAGUGUUAGGAUGGGGAUGCACUAAUCGAUUUGCAUAUGAGUGACACUUCCAAAAUACUUAAGAGAUAAAAAAAUACAUAUUUCCCCCAAUUACAUGAUUUUGUAUAUUACUCCAAUACCCCAAGUCUCAAAUAUCGAUGGAUCCUUUCUUAGUUGACUGUCUCUCAUCUAACUAUCUAAUCUUUAUUAAUUAUACUACGUUCUGCAUAUAUAUGCUAGUAAUUGGCCUUGCUCACUAUUGAGAAAUCGGCUAGGAGGGAGGGAAGCACCUUUAGUUAUAGGUGCUUAUGAUCAUUGUGGUGUUGCCAUGUGGCAACUUCCACACUCUUCAAUACAAAAUAUCCUAACUCUAGAACCCUCCUCAUCCUUAUCUAGUUUCUUAGAUUUCUACCAUGCUAAAAUAUCUAGUUUUAGAAUAUUCUACACUUCACCAUGAAGCAUGGCAAUUAUAGCUCAUACAUUCUCUCUAAUUUUCUAGAACCUUCUUACCUUGCAAAUACUCUAAGGAUAAGAUCAUGGCAAUUAUGGCUCAUGCAUUCUCUCUAAUUUUCUAGAACCUUCUUACCUUGCGAAUACAAAAUUAGAGAGAAUGCAUGAGCCAUAAUUGCCAUACUUCAUGGUGAAGUGUAGAACAUUCUAAAACUAGAUAUUUUAGCAUGGUAGAAAUCUAAGAAACUAGAUAAGGAUGAGGAGGGUUCUAGAGUUAGGAUAUUUUGUAUUGAAGAGUGUGGAAUGGCAACACCACAAUGAUCAUAAGCACCUAUAAAUAGAGGUGCUUCCCUCCCUCCUAGUCGAUUUCUCAAUAGUGAGCAAGGCCAAUUACUAGCAUAUACAUGCAAAACGUAGUAUAAUUAAUAAAGACUAGAUAGUCAGAUGAGAGACAGUCAACUAAGAAAGGAUCCAUCGAUAUUUGAGACUUGGGGUAUUGGAGUAAUAUACAAAAUCAUGUAAUUGGGGGGAAUAUGUAUUUUUUUUAUCUCUUAAGUAUUUUGGAAGUGUCACUCAUAUGCAAAUCGAUUAGUGCAUCUCCAUCCUAACACUUUUUCCUAUAAUAUUUGAUCAGAUAGAUAAUUUUAGUAAGUAGGUUAGACAUAAAUUUUUACCAUAGCCCCAGAAAUCGGAAGCGGUGUUACCCGAGCUCGUCGAUCAUCUUCUUUAGUAUCUCAAAUUCGCUGCCGGCAUUCUUGUCCUCGUUUAUAUGUGCCUCCUCUAAUCCUGCAGCAACGAAGCCCGGGUGGGGCGCGUCACCCAGACCAUGGUGCUGAGUAUAAUGCUACUCGUGCAGCUCAUGGCAGUGUGCUCCUUGGCGGUGUACUACGGCUCCUCUAUCGCUAUAGAGAGGGCGCACGCCAAAAUGAUGGAGUUGUCGAAGGAUGAAAGCACGGGCCAGAUUAUGGUAAAUAUGCUAGUGUCUUUCAUAUGUUCUUCGUGCACGGCGGUCGGGGCGACGGUCGGGAUGGCGGUCACCGCGGUCGGGACGGUGGCUACCGCGGUCGGGACGGCUGUCGGGGCAGCGGUCGGGACGGCGGUCACCGCGGUCGGGACGGCGGUCGGGGCGGCGGUCGGGACGGCGGCUACCGCGGUCGGGACGGCGGUCACCGCGGUCGGGACCGGAGCGGCUGCGGCGUGGAACGCGGUGGCGUUCUGGAGGAGGUGGGGCCAGAAGAAGGAGGAGUAGGAGGAGAAGGAGGAAGAUGAACGCGGUGGCAUAUGUAUCGGUUAAACUAAAUAACUAAUGCAGUAAGAAAAGGGAUGUUUGGGUGUCGUGGUACUGAUUAUUGGUGGCAUAUGUAUUGUGUCCUGGUACUUGAUGAUAUCUUAGCUUUCUGUAUUGUGUCUUGGCACUGUGAUAUCUUAGCUUUCUGUAUUGUGUCUUGGUUCGUCGUUCCAUUGACCGAGAUGAACGCAAGAAGUGCCAGCUAUGCGGCUAUGUCCGCCGGAUGGAUGGCUGCCUCGUGCAGCGGCAAUCCACGUGACACUGAUAGGAGGGGACGCGCAUGAGUCUUCGGAUCGCCAUUUCGCUGACAGAACAAUAAGAAAAAAAAUACUUGAGCGGUUGGCGACACCGUUGUAAAAGAUCGAUCCCAGCAAAACCUGCACGUCCUGCUUGCAUGGUCUUGCUGUCACCAUUCAUGCAUUCAAAAAUACAUAAUUGAGAAUGGAAAGCAGGAGUGCUGGUGUUAGAGAAAACCAUUGCAUGCAGGUUUAUCUUGUCGUGCAGUUCCAUAAUUUCCUACACCACCAAACUGACAUAUUGCUUUCUAUUUGAGCAAACACCAGAACUAAGGCGCGCGCACAGUUUUCUCUUUGUAAUCUUCUAUCAAACAAUGAAGAUCAAAACAUGAGCCCAUGAAUGCAACUAUAACAUUGUACGGAGCAGGUGAAUGGGGAAUCCACAUGGAGAUUGCUGCAUACUUAUUUAUGCACGUGCUGUAUAUUUGAUGUAAGUUAUCUAGCAGCUUCAUGUGUCACGAAAGUGUACAGCACAUAAGGAUUGAAAGGAAAACGAUAGAACAAAGAAAUUAAUCGGGCGUCAAUUAACUGAACACCAUGUUAGUGAAAGGAAAUUGCAACCCUUAAUAAUCAGAAAGAACAGCUAGACCCUAGCCUAAGGAAAUGUUAACAGAGGCGAGAUAACACCAGUGCAAAAGAAUAUCAUAACAAGAAACAACAUUCAGGAUAUGCAAAGCAGGCGAGGGGGUGCAAAUUUUGCAGAUAAGAUGAAAACAUUGUCAUAUUUGAUUUGAGAUAUUUGGCUAAGAAUCAGUCGAUGAUUCAAAUGUUAAAUUGUAACAAAAAGUACAAUGAUUUUGAUUACUGAAAAAAAAAUAUUCUGGACAGGCAGAGAUUUGGUGCUAACUACCAGGCAAACCCAACCUAUGAAAGAACAGACCUUUCAUUAGUGUAGUAUUUGCCUGAUUGUGCUAGAUGGUGAUUCAAAUAAGAGGUUCGAUAAACUUGCACAUUCCAUUUUAACCCUUGUAUACGUUUUGAACAAAUUACUUCACUGACAAUGCAGGAUAAAGAAGGAAAACAGGCAUAUGCUGGCUGUAUAGAAUAUAUUCUGAGUGUAUAGUAGAUCAACCAGGAAAACAGGACUCCUGGCGCUAAAGGACACCAGUGAAUGCUAUUAACGUAUGUCUCGGCCCUCUUGCUUUGAUAAUUAAGUAAUUAAUAAUAGGAAGAACCCAAAAAGAAAGGGAGAAGCUAAAACUGCAGUGAAAUUUCGCCUUUGAAUGAAGUGCCCAUUUCAGUUUGAAAUAUUAACAGAACACAAGGAAAAAGGAAUCGGUGCAACAAAGUAUUGCAAAAGCACCUCUAAUCGGCAUGGAAUCCCUGUGUAACUGCCUGUCUGGCCAGGGCCCACCUCGGUGCUGCCACCAAUACCCCUUGCGUGAAAACCUUGCGUGAAUGCCUACAGCUCGUUCGCUUGGCUGCUGCGUUCGGCUGGCUGGCUGCUGCGGCAGAGAGCUGCUGCGUGCUGCCUGCACACAAGUGUAGUGAUUAGUGAAGGGAUAUAUGACAUGCAGAAACUAAGAGGGCGUUUUCUUCCACUGACUUAUUUUUAGCACGUGUCAUCGAAUGUUUAGAUACUAAUUAGGAGUAUUAAACGUAGACUAUUUACAAAACCCAUUACAUAAGACGAAUCUAAACGGCGAGACGAAUCUAUUAAGCCUAAUUAAUCCAUCAUUAGCAAAUAUUUACUGUAGCAACACAUUAUCAAAUCAUGGACUAAUUAGGCUUAAUAGAUUCGUCUCGCCGUUUAGAUUCGUCUUAUGUAAUGGGUUUUGUAAAUAGUCUACGUUUAAUACUCCUAAUUAGUAUCUAAACAUUCGAUGUGCCGGGUGCUAAAAAUAAGUCAGUGGAAGAAAACGGGGCCUAAUUAACAAGAUGUGGACACAAGGAGAAUUACUAUUUAUUUACUAGCAUACAUCAUUGCAAGCAAUUCAUCUUAUGGAACCGGUGAUCCAAGGAAGACGUAGCAUAAUUUUGGGGUUCCAUUUUUCAUCGUUGCCCGCUGUAGAUUGCACUCCUACUGACUUGGGCAAGGUGAUGGAACAUGGAAGAAGAGCCUGGAACCUGUGGAGGUGGAGCCGACCCGACCUGACCGGUGCAGGAGGGAGCGGGAGAGGCCAGCAGCGUGGCAGGCCAAGUACACUGGCCUCCGGCCUCCGACGGUGUGGAGGCCGUGUCAGCAUGGUGCUGACGUGGCAUGAGGCUUGUUGCGCCAUCCCACCUGGUGCGGCAGCACCAGCCAUACAGGAGCGUGCUGGUUUCCCUCCUCCUCCCUUCCUUUCUUCUUCCUCCAGUAACCUCGAGCCCGACUGACUCCCUCACCGCCGGCUGCCGCCACCCCCCAAUCCGCCCCAAAUCCGGCCAUUUCAGUUGGGGAAACUAGUUGGAAUUGUUCACCGCUUCGUUUGGAAGGUAUCCCCCAACUUUUUUCCUUGUUUUACCGUUCCAUUUGCUAGAUCGGAGGAUAUUUAGGUGACCUAGGGUUAGGUUGUUGAUUUUAAAUUUUGAUUGUGUAGUGUAUAUGAUAUUGGUAGGGUUUUUUUUGCAAUAUAUCCAAUUGAUGUCUAUAGUUGGUACGGUAAAGUUGAUGGAUUACGUGUCUAAAGUUUAUUUGUGUAUUAUUUUUUGGUCACUUGAUGUGUAGGUGAGAUGACGUCUGGGUGUGAAUACAAACGGCGUAGAUGGUACGUGCAUUACAUGGGCGAGUCCAAUGCGGAUGCUUCCGUACCUCCUGCCGUUCCGGUACCUCUUUGUAGAUGUGGCGUGCAAGCCGAGGUGAAACAAUCAAGGCACCCAAAGACAGCCGGAAGAACCUUCUAUGUGUGCAAGUGGAAGUUUGAUCUAAUGCCUACCGUACCUUGUGAUUUCUUUCAAUAGAUAGAUGGACCCGACAAAUAUGAUCCUAGGAUCCGCCUAUUCCCAUACGAUAGCACAGAGCUUAAACCAUACUAUCAGUUUAGGCGUUGGGUUCCUCUUCCACCAAACCCACCUAGAAUGACUGAGGAGGAGAAGCAGGAGGCUGCUUGUAGGCGUGUGAGGGAUUCUCUCAUGUGCAAGUGUGGAGUUGCUGCUAAGCUUAUGCGUCCUAACUUAGGGGUUCCACCUAAGUUCACCUCAUUCUUUUGAUGCUCGCUAACGACCCAUGUAAGUUUAGUAGGAGAAUGUUAGUGUCAUGUGUAGGAAGUAGUGAUAGUUUUCUUGAUAUGCACUAUGUAAUCUUGUCACCAGUUUUAUGCAGGAUGGGUGGCCGCUAUGUGAUUUCAAUGAGUAUAUCUAUGGGCCUAAGCCGAUGUGGCCAACGGAGGAGCAAGUGCGGGACUUCGAGAGUGGAAAGGCACUAUGGUCAUGUGUGUCCUCUCCUAGUGAUAGAUGCAAGUGUAGUAUAUUGGCAACACAAGGUGUGGUGCCUUCUAAGCUUGGAUAUGGUUCGUUCUGUGGCAAUGCAUGUCGAGUACAGGGUGAGUAACUAUUCAUCUCUUUUGUUGAUUGUUUAUCCUAUUACAUGUGACAUGUGUAGCCAUUGUUUCAAAUUUGUGACAAUAUGAACAUCUUGUUGCAGGAGGGAAGGACAUGUGAUUGGGAAGACUUUUCUGGUCAUCAUAAUUUAUUGUUAAAGUUGGGUCGUACAUCAGAACCAUGGAAGUCAGGACAAACACAAGAACUGAUAGAAAAGAUUAGGAAGGAAAAUAUAGUGACUUGCUUUGGGGGAAAAUAUACCAAGACAUGGUUCGGGAUACUAGAGUGAAGCCUGAAGGAUUUUAUGUGAAGGAAAAUAUUAUUAAGUAUUGAAGGCAGAACAGAAUGAAGUAUCCACGCCCUCUAACUGAAGAUCAGAAGAGAGAAAAUAGGAGGAAGUUGCAGGAAAAGAGGGAGUUGGAGAAACAAAGGUUGAGGGAGGAGAGAGAUCGCAUAGGUUUUGUUGUUGAUCCAAAUGCAAAAUACACUAAGGGUUCAUGGGAAGAAUACUUGCAGCAGGUUAGGGCAAGGAAGAGCAGGAUUAAAAUGGAAGAGUUACAAGAAAGGGCGUAAGAGGCGCAUAUGCAGGCGAUGAAGGCACUUGUUGCCGAUUUACCUGUUGGUAAGGUUAAUGUGGAUAAGAAAGGGAAGGGAGUUGUUAUUGUGUGGGAUGAUGAUGAUGAUGAUGAGUUAGUAUGUGAAUGUGACUCUGACUAAAUAAUGUGUUCAUUGAGUUGCUUCAUGUUUCUCUUUAGUUGUGAAAACUAUGUUCAUUUGUGAGAGAACUAUGUUUGUUGUGGAGAAGUACAUUUAUUGUGAGAAAUAUGUUUAUUUGUUAAGAACAAUGUAUUAUGUUAUUUGCAUUGAGUGCGCAGGUGUGGUCGUGGCAGGGAUGAGCUCUUUUGAAGUGAUGAUAUGCCACCGUGUUUUUAGGCACUUCUGGAGAGUUUGGACGAUAGUAGCCAGCCAAAAGUAAUUGUCACCUUUAUCCACCACCAGAUAGAGAGAAAGAGCGCUUGCAGCACGCACCCACCAUUUCCGUGCGAAUCUCCUCUUCUUAUAACCCCACCUCGUCUUCGUCUCCCCCUCCAGCAACCACCCUCUCACUAGCGGCCAAACCAAAACAAAACCCUAGUCCCAAACCCAUCUCGCCGCCGAACCUCCCAAAAAUCCAAAUGGCCGCCGUUUGGGUCGCGUUGGCCGCCGCGCACCGGCGUGUCGCUCCCAUCGCUGUCGCGGCGGGGGGGGGGGGGGGGGGGGGGGGCCCUCUCCCGCUCCCGCUCCCGCUCCCGUGGUGGCACUUCUUGCCCCGCGCGUGGUUCCCGCUGCUCGGGGGGGGGGGGGGGGGGGGGGGGGGGGGGGGGGGGCUCUCGCGGUGGCACUCCUUGGCCCGCACAUGGCUCCCGUUGCUCAGGGGGUCUCUCCUGCGGCCGCGCUCCAUGACCCCGCUCCUCCAUCUCGCGCGGCGGCGCUCCUCUGCCCGCACGACCUCAUACGCCUUCGCGUGGUAUCGGGGACCCUGCUGGGACUACGCCACCUCUUCACCGGGGCCACCAUCCAGCCAGACCGCGACGAAGCCCGGUGCACAACCGCCAACACCACCCGCGCGGACGCCGCCGUCGAGGACUACGCCACGGCCAAGGACGUCGACGAGAUCCACGACAAGGACGUCGACGAGAUCCACGACAAGGACGUCCUCGAGCAAGCUCGGGCCUCCGACCUCAUCAGCCGGUCCGAUCUCGCGGCGGCGCUGCUCGGCCUGCGCGUGGCUCCCGUUGCUCGGGGGGCCUCUCCCGCAGCGGUGGUCCACGCCCCGCACGGUCCUCUGUCUCGCGCGGCGGUGCUCCUCCACCCACGUGACCUCCUCCACCUCCGCGUGGUAUCAGGGACCCCGCUGGGACUACGCCACCUCUUCCUCGGGGCCAGAAUCCAGCCGGACCACGACGAAGCCCGACGCACAACCGCCGACACCACCCGCGCAGACGCCGCUGUCGAGGACUACGCCACGGCCAAGGACACCGACGAGAGUGCGGCGAGCACGUCCUCGAGCAAGCUGGGGCCUCCGACCUCAGCGGCUGGUCCAAUCCCGCGGCGGCGCUGCUCGGCCCGCGCGUGGCUCCCGUUGCUCGGGGGGCCUCUCCCGCGGCGGCGCUCCACGGCCCCUGCGGUCCUCCAUCUCGUGCGGUGGCGCUCCUCCGCUCGCGCGACCUCCUCUGCCGCAGACGAGGUGAAGGUUGGUCAUCAAUAAUAAUGGACUCGCGUCAGCAAGCUAGCUCCAACAGCAACAAAGCCUUUUGUUUAUAGAGUCAUGCAGAUGCAGAGUAGUCUUGUCUGGGUCACAUCUGCACCGAGUGCAGGGAAGGAAAGGCUGCACCGCGGUGAUUAGAGGGUGGACAGGGGUAGCCCAUCACCAACUCGUUCCUGCGCAACUGGCAGGGCUGGCUUUGGUUCACCCUUGGGCCUUGUUUAGUUGCCCAACUUUGGACAACCAAAAUUACUGUAGCGUAACUGUAGCAUUUCAUUUGUAUUUGUGAAUUAUUGUCCAAAUAUUGACUAAUUAGGCUCAAAAGAUUCGUCUCGCAAAGUACAACAAAACUGUGCAAUUAGUUUUUGAUUUCGUCUACAUUCAGUACUCCAUGCAUGUACCGCAAGUUUGAUGUGACGAGAAAUCUUCUUUUUACAUAGCGCUAAAGUUGGAAUUUUGGGGAACUAAACAGGGCUUGGUUCGUCGUUCCAGGGUGGCCCCAAAGCGAAAUUGACCGAGAUGAACGCAAGAAGUGCCAGCUAUGCGGCUAUGUCCGCCGGAUGGAUGGCUGCCUCGUGCAGCGGCAAUCCACGUGACACUGAUAGGAGGGGACGCGCAUGAGUCUUCGGAUCGCCAUUUCGCUGACAGAACAAUAAGAAAAAAAAAUACUUGAGCGGUUGGCGACACCGUUGUAAAAGAUCGAUCCCAGCAAAACGUGCACGUCCUGCAUGCAUGGUCUUGCUGUCACCAUGCAUGCAUUCAAAAAUACGUAAUUGAGAAUGGAAAACAGGAGUGCUGGUGUUAGAGAAAACCAUUGCAUGCAGGUUUAUCUUGUCGUGCAGUUCCAUAAUUUCCUACACCACCAAACUGACAUAUUGCUUUCUAUUUGAGCAAACACCAGAACUAAGGCGCGCGCACAGUUUUCUCUUUGUAAUCUUCUAUCAAACAAUGAAGAUCAAAACUUGAGCCCAUGAAUGCAACUAUAACAUUGUACAAGGAGCAGGUGAAUGGGGAAUCCACAUGGAGAUUCGCAAGGUAAGAAGGUUCUAGAAAAUUAGAGAGAAUGCAUGAGCCAUAAUUGCCAUACUUCAUGGUGAAGUGUAGAACAUUCUAAAACUAGAUAUUUUAGCAUGGUAGAAAUAUAAGAAACUAGAUAAGGAUGAGGAGGGUUCUAGAGUUAGGAUAUUUUGUAUUGAAGAGUGUGGAAUGGCAACACCACAAUGAUCAUAAGCACCUAUAAAUAGAGGUGCUUCCCUCCCUCCUAGCCGAUUUCUCAAUAGUGAGCAAGGCCAAUUACUAGCAUAUACAUGCAAAACGUAGUAUAAUUAAUAAAGACUAGAUAGUCAGAUGAGAGACAGUCAACUAAGAAAGGAUCCAUCGAUAUUUGAGACUUGGGGUAUUGGAGUAAUAUACAAAAUCAUGUAAUUGGGGGGAAUAUGUAUUUUUUUUAUCUCUUAAGUAUUUUGGAAGUGUCACUCAUAUGCAAAUCGAUUAGUGCAUCUCCAUCCUAACACUUUUUCCUAUAAUAUUUGAUCAGAUAGAUAAUUUUAGUAAGUAGGUUAGACAUAAAUUUUUACCAUAGCCCCAGAAAUCGGAAGCGGUGUUACCCGAGCUCGUCGAUCAUCUUCUUUAGUAUCUCAAAUUCGCUGCCGGCAUUCUUGUCCUCGUUUAUAUGUGCCUCCUCUAAUCCUGCAGCAACGAAGCCCGGGUGGGGCGCGUCACCCAGACCAUGGUGCUGAGUAUAAUGCUACUCGUGCAGCUCAUGGCAGUGUGCUCCUUGGCGGUGUACUACGGCUCCUCUAUCGCUAUAGAUAGGGCGCACGCCAAAAUGAUCGAGCUGUCCGAGGAUGAAAGCACGCGCCAGAUUAUGGUAAACAUGCUAAUGUCUUUGAUACGUUCUUCGUGCACGGCGGUCGGGGCGGCGGUCGGGACGACGGUCACCGCGGUCGGGACGACGGCUACCGCGGUCGGGACGGCUGUCGAGGCGGCGGUCGGGACGGCGGUCACCGCGGUCGGGACGGCGGUCGGGGCGGCGGUCGGCGCGGUCGGGAUGGCAGUCACCGCGGUCGGGAUAGGAGCGGCUGCGGCGUGGAACGCGGUGGCGUUCUGGAGGAGGUGGGGCCAGAAGAAGGAGUAGGAGGAGGACGAGGAAGAUGAACGCGGUGCAAAAGAAUAUCAUAAUAAGAAACAACAUUCAGAAUAUGCAAAGCAGGCGAGGGGGUGCAAAUUUUCUCCGAUCUCGUCUUUGAGCCCUGGGCUGGCCCAGAGGUGCAACAUGCUACCAAACUACCCGAUAGUCAUUUAUAUUUCUGCUUGCGUGCUGUUGUUCUCCUGAUUUUUGCAAGAGUUACCCAAUCAUGACAUUUAAACUCGUUAUUGUAUUUCCUAGCGUCUAUUUCUCAUGCAAAAUGUGUCAGGUUUUUCACUCAAAAUUGCCCCAUUUUCUCGUGAUCACGUUACGCUAGUCGUGUGUCCGUGCAUCACAUCCAUGCUUUACAGCGCAAAAAGUACGCACGCAUUUCAAGAUUUCUAAGUUAAAUAUAUAUUAAUCCACUCGCACAAGUCAUUGGCAAAAACGGCAAGUAUCCAGUUACAAAGUCUUGGUGCUGAAGUCAUCUCAUAGAACAUAGAUAAAUACAAUAAUCGAGCCGACAUAGCUAAAGACGGCAGGCAAACCCAAUCAUCUGCACACAAAACUACCUAAGCUUUUAUUUCUCUCC
rnacentral:lncRNA from 1 species